rnacentral:lncRNA from 1 species
GGGACUAGAGCGAGAGAGAGCUCUGGAGUCGACCUUUGCCCGCGCGCGGCGAGGGAGGUUAUGCCGUUUUCCUUUCUGGUAAUAUGCCCUUUUUUUUGUCAGAUCUGAUUUGGUCUCCGUCGAUUUCGUGACCUUCUUUUCUGAAUUUGGAUCCUUUUUCCGGGUCUUUUAGGGUUAGGGUUUGAGCUCUGGUUUCUUCGGAUCUGGGUUGUGUUUUGGUGGUGUAUUUGAUGGGGGUUGGGUGGGGAUUUUAGGAAGAUUGUGAACAAAAUCUGAAAUCCGACCAUGAUGGUUUGGAUUUUGGGGUUUUGAUCAUCUCUUAUUGAUUUGGUUUUCGGAUUAGGGUUUGUGUUUUGCGGAUGAAUUGGGGGAAAUUUGAAGAAAGAGGUUGAAUAAAGCUUGGGAAUCUGGCCUUGGUGGGUUGGAUUUUAAGGGUUUUAAUUUGAUAUGCUAUCGAUUUGUUUUUAGGAGUACGAUUUGAUGUUAUUGGAUCUGGUUUGUGUUUGGUUGAUCAAUUGGGGAACAAGUUUGAAGAAAGAUUAAACGACAUUUGGGAAAUUAGGGGUUUUGAUUUCAUCUCUCAUUGAUUUGUUUUUAGGGUUGGGGCUUAGCUUGUAUGGUAUUUGAUUUGGUUUGUGAUUAGGGAUGCAUGUUUUGGGGCUGGAUUGCCGUUGAAUUCAACAAAAAUUGGAUCAGAUUUUCUUAUUAUUAUUAUUUGAUUUCGGCUUAUUCUUUCUGCAUUUGGAUCCCCUUUUAUGGUUUUUGGGUUUAAGAUUUGGUAUUUUUGGUUUACGGUUAAGAUUUGGUUUGAUGGAUCUGCUUUGAUCUGCGAUUCAGUUUGUUUGUUAUGGCGUUGAAUUAAAAAUAAAUUUAAGAAAAUACGGUCAAUAUUGGUGGUUUUGAUUUGUUUUUUAUUUUUUAUUUAUUUAUUUUUUAAAUUUAGAUUUAGAUGAUGUAUCACAUGGGGUUUAUUUUCUAAUUUAGGAUGUAAUAUGGAGUUAUUAGUCUUCUUUGAUUUUUACCACAAUGUUGGCUUUUACGUUUAGGGUUUGAUUUCGUGCAUGUGAUUUGUGCUUUGUUGAUGCAUUGGGGUAGAAAUUUAAAGAAAAGUUGAAUAAGAUGUCAAAUCCAGCCUGGUUGGUUUGGGUUUUAGGUUCUUUUCGUUUGCUUUUAGAUUGUGUUUUCCAAGAAAUUCAGGAAUUGAUUUUUAGGGUUUUUAUUUUAUUUUAAUUUUUUUAUAUAGAAAGGAGGAUUCUUUGGGGUUUAUUUAUUUUAUUUAUUUAUUUUUAUCUAAGUUGGAUUAUACAUCUUUUGAGCUGAUAAUGUAAUUAAGUUCGUCUCCUCCUUUGGGCAUCUGUUAGUUUCUAGGGUUUGGCUUGUUCAGGAAUUGAUUUUUAGGGUUUUUGUUUUAUUUUAUUUUUUAGAUAGAAAGGAGGAUUCUUUGGGUUUUAUUUAUUUAUUUAUUUAUUUUUAUCUAAGUUGGAUUAUACAUCUUUUGAGCUGAUAAUGUAAUUAAGUUCAUCUCCUCCUUCGGGCAUCUGUUAGUUUCUAGGGUUUGGCUUGAUGAUCUGAUGUGCAGUUUGGAUUCUUUUACAUGGUAGUGAAUUGUUUUGAAAUUGAAGAGAAUUUUAUUUUAUUUUUUUAACAAGAAGAAAAGAACAGUUUGGAGAUUGGAUCGGAUUGGUCUUUUUUGGUGUAUUUGGGGAGAGUGAAACUGAAGGACCUUCCAAGAGGAAGAGUUGCCAGAUCAAAUUUUGAGGGAUCUCUUUAUUUGUUCAGUGAUAGAGUUGCAUCCCCUUUCACUACAGGGAUUUUUUUUCAGGGUUAAUGUCUGGCUUAAUCUGAUCUUCUAGUGUAAAUUGGAAAUCUGCGCUCUAAAUUUUAUAAACCUAUUCUAUAUAAGUUGGAAAAGAGGACCUUUUUCCACUAGGAGCUGGCUCAUAACUUUUAAUUGAAUGAUCUAGUUUUUAGCUUAUAUCUAACUUUCUGCAUAUCCACAAACACAAAUCAUGUUCAGCUUUCCAUAUAACAUGUUUCUGUAAAAGUAAAUAAUAUUUAUAUGGUUUCUGAUAAAAAACCUAUAAAAUAAUAUGGUUUCUGAUAAAAGAAAGCAUGUUUAUAUGGUUUUCUGGUAAUAAUUUGUUGGACAGAAUUUAGGUGAUGUGUCACAGUGUUGAAGCAGUUCUUGCAAGAAACUCUUUGGUGAUUGACAGUGUUUAUUAUCACAUGUUUCAAAUAUAAGUAACGCAUAUUUGCCUGGUUUAAUUUAAUUCUUGUACUGAAUUAUUUUCUGUACAAACCUAGUUUGUAUCAAUGAUUAACUUUUUAUGAUGGUCAUAGAGACUUUAUACUGAUAUGGUUGCCUCUUUUCUGUGUAAUCUUCUUAUUGUGGGUUUUAGCAUUUGUAAUGUCUUGUCAACUAAUAGUAUUUCAUCAGAACUUCAAUUUGCUAUAUCUCUCAGCUUUUGUUUAGCUAUCUAUCUGAUUAUUUUGGUAUGAGUUUGCUGACAUUGUUUUUGCUGAUAGGUAUUGCGGGACUUAGAUCUUGAGGACUUACUUUCCUUUCUUAAGACAUGGAGCAAGUGUGCUUCUGGUCAACUUGCCACCAGUUUCGAGUUUUUUCAUUCCAGGAAGUGCUCGACUGGCGGUUUCUCACCCUUGGAGAUUUCCUUCUUGUUUCUUUUGUCAAUUGCACUUAGUGCCCAGCUUUACUUAGAUGAUCAGCACAACAGGCCUAAUGCGAUUUUUUUCUGAGAUAGAUGUUGGAUCUUUAGUGCAGUUCUCCAAGUAAGCCUUUUACUCCCUAACUUUUUUUGGGCCAGACCUUUCUUAUCAUCUUUCCUAACAGAUUCUUUUGUUGGUAGUGCAUUGUUGAUACAACAUCCAUUCAGAAUUUCUUGAGUUUCUGAGGUAUACUAUUUUUAUGCUAUCAAAUCUUUUUUUUAUAGGAAUAUUUAUUGGUGUAAUUACUUUAUUCUUGUGAGAAAGAACUAACUCUUUUCCCAUGUCUCUCUCUUCCCCUUCUACCACAGGGCCAAAUUCUGCAAGUAAACAAAUGAGAAGUUGCUUACUCAGUUGAUAAUUAGAUAAUCUGUUGCAUUGGAUCUGCAAAGACCUAGUAGUUCUUAGUUAUUCCUUCAUCAUUGCUGCUGAAGGCUUACAUUUAGAGGGUGAGACACAAAUUGAACGGAAGAUUCUGCAAGAAGUUUGAAGUAGUAUAAAUGUGAUAAUUCUUCUUAGUUCUUUGGUAGUGUUGGGCGACUGUAUCUUGAACCGGAGAUUCCUUCUUUGACCUAGAAGAGUCUUUCUGCGCUGAUCCGUCUCUGAGUUGCUCACAGGAUGUUCUGCACUCGAUCUUUACUGCAAUCUAUGCAUUGUUAUUGUCGUCCAACAGUGGGUUUAAUAUGUUUUCUGAAUAAGGCUCUGAAGCUUGUCCAUCAAAAAAGUAUUGGUGUCACUCUCUUGCACAUUGUCCUCGAAAAUUAAUGGUGGAUUCAGCUGGACCAGCCAGGAAGUUUGUUUAUUUUCUGUAGGGGUUUUCUACGAGUUAUCAACUGAAGGCAUAUGACGUACAUUCAUCUAUGUGUUCUUCAUUCUUUUCUUAAAUAAGUCAAAAGAGCCGCAAUCCGUUGAAAUCUGUGCCUUGUGCUACAAGAAGAAUGGAUAAGUGAGUGGGCUUGUAUGGAACUUGCUUGUUAAUAUUUGUAUUUUAAUGUGUUGAUAUGUCUGAGAGUUUUGGCCUCUACAGGUAUACGAUAAUCAAGGAAGUUGGUGAUGGGACUUUUGGAAGUGUUUGGCGAGCAAUAAAUAAGCAGACUGGUGAAGUUGUAAGCAGCAUGUUCAUAGUUUUUAUUGCUUUGAAACUGAAGGAAAUUGAUUCUAUAUAAGUCAGGGUUUGUUCUUUUGUUUCAACAGGUUGCUAUAAAAAAGAUGAAGAGGAAAUAUUAUUCCUGGGAAGAAUGUUUAAAUCUGAGAGAAGUCAAGGUAAAACAGUUUAUACUUCUGCUCUUAUUAUUGCUAUUUUAUUUCUGUAUAUGGUUUUAAAUUUUUUCUUUUUGCAGUCAUUGAGAAAGAUGAACCACCCAAACAUUGUGAAGCUCAGGGAAGUCUUUAGGGAAAAUGAUAUUUUGUACUUUGUGUUUGAAUACAUGGUAUGUGAUAUCCCUAUCAACUAGUAAAUUGUUUUCAUCAGUGCUUAUUAUUAAAUAUGAUAAAUGCCAUUUGUCUGUUUCAGGAAUGCAACCUUUACCAACUAAUGAAAGAUCGGUUGAAGCUUUUUUCGGAAACUGAAGUUCGAAAUUGGUGCUUUCAAGUGUUCCAAGGUCUUGCUUACAUGCACAGGCGUGGAUAUUUUCAUCGCGACCUCAAGCCAGGUGACUGCUACUUUUGUGAUUUUUGACCAAAAUCAUAGAAAUGCAUUUUUUGAGCAAGCACUACAAUUCCAAUUUAGUUGAUGAUUCAUUUAGGGAUGGAUGAUAUUUAUAAGAUAUCCAUUGAAGAUCCUCUGAUGCAUUGCCAUUAAUUUUUUUUGAUAGGCUUUAUAGUAGAGGCUCAUUUUGCCAUAAAAAUUUCAAUUCCCAUGGGUAGCCAUAUUUUGCCAUCAUCUAUUCCUGAGAAAGGGGAUGCAUCUUAGAUGAUAUUUAAAAAAGAUGCCUUUUUCUUUUAAAAUAAUUAUUAAUAUUUUUUUCCCGCUUGCUUAUUGGUGCUAUUUCUAUACUUUGUGUGUGCUUUGUUGCCCCUUUUCUGAGCGCUUUUAAAAUAAUUGCCUUUUUACCUAUCAAUAAAAAAAGGAGUCUUUUUUUCUGGGGUGGGUGGGGGGAUAAACAAUUUUUAUGUGAUAUUCUUGAGAAGAAUGAACUUUUAGGAAAUUUAGGUCUUUAUGUAUUUGAGAUAUUUCUGUUUAUUUUCCAAAAAAACAAUCUAGCAACGCUAUUUGCUUAGGUUCUGUAACUCAUAAAACAUUUGAGUAGCAUUUGGUUUUCUUCCAAUUCUUUGAUUGCCUGAACACUUGACAAUGAAAGUGAAGGGCCUCACCCAGUAUGAUGAAAGUUUUAAAGAUGACUCCAUCAUUAUUCUGCUCCUUUCUCCUUGCUCUCUGUCUUAUUAUUUUUAUUUUAAAUUUAAGUUAAAUUAUCCUAUGUUGGGUGAUGGGAUUUUCAUUUCUGAUUUUGUAUAUUGAGUCAUCUUCUAGUCUUCUCUCUCUCUCUCUCUCUCUCUCUGUAUAUAUUUGUUUUGUUGUUAUGAUUCAAAUUGUUUGGGGUUGGGUGGGUGAGUGUUAGGGGUUGUAUGCCCUGAUUUUAAUCUUGCAUUAACUUGAGCUUUAUAUAAUAGGUAUAAUUCAUAAAGUGAUAUGAAAUCUUCUUCUUCUUCGCUUCACUUGAUCAAAAAAAUGUAGAGUCGGUUAUUUAAUAAAGCGGACAGGAAAAAAUUUAUGUUUGCCUUUGCUCUUUUAAUUUUAAUGUUUACUUUGUUUUGUAUUUAUAUGUGGGUUAUAGUUUCUCAAAUAUGCAUCUUCCAUUCUGAUUAAAAAAAUGCAUCUUCCAUAAAAAUUCCUUCCUUGUAUGUUUCUUUUCAGAGAACUUGUUGGUUACAAAAGAUGUAAUAAAAAUUGCUGAUUUUGGUCUUGCUCGGGAGAUCAAUUCUCAACCACCAUACACGGAAUAUGUCUCUACACGCUGGUACGUGUUUUUGGGUUACUUGUUUGUCCCCUUUAUUAAUGUGUUGCGUCCUUCAAAUUUCAAUCUCCCUGAUAUUAUUUGGUUGUAUUUUGUUAUCACUAAAAUAUGGACAUGGCAGGUAUCGAGCUCCAGAGGUGCUGCUUCAAUCAUCCACAUAUGGUUCUGCAGUUGGUCAGUAUAUAGUUGGAAAGAGACUGAAAUUUUAUGAAGUUUGAAAAAAUAUCCAUAUUUUUGUCUGUAGACACUGAAAUUUUAUUUCCAUUUUUUCCCUCCAGAUAUGUGGGCAAUGGGUGCUAUCAUGGCUGAAUUGUUUACUCUCCGUCCUCUCUUUCCAGGAUCGAGGUAAAUGUUUUUUUCCCCUUUCCUUCUAGGUAUUGGUUUUUCCCUUUUGCUUUUACUAGUUAUGGUGUAUGUUGCACGUGGUUAAUUUUACAUAAUUGAAAAUAAAAUUAAUAUUUCAAGAGGUUGGUUUUUAAUUUCAAAAAUCAUAAUGCAAGUGAAUUUAAUAUGUAAUUCAGGAAAUCAAUGUAUAGGACUCGGUAGAAUAUGGUAUUAGUUCUUAAAACAUAUAUCUAUUAAUUAUGGUUCUUAAACAUGUAUCUACUAGAUAUAUUCACAUUUCUUGUGUACCCAAUAGGAGUUAGUUAUUAAUGUGACAUCUUAUUUUGUGCUAAUUUUGAUAAAACUAUUGAUUAAUUUGGAUAGUAGAAAGUGGUGGUUUUAUAUCAAAGGAAAAAAAAAAUAAAAAUUUGUAUUUCUUACCUAACAACCACCAGGGAUUUCUGAUAGUUUUUUUACAAUAAGAAAAAUUUAAAUUUAUUAUUUUUUCCAGCUUUUAACUAAUUUGUCUCUUUUCUAGUUUACCAAUGUAAGGUGACAAUUGAAAUUAGUUAUUGAGUUUGCUUAAAUAUGGGAGCCCCUCUAAGUGUGUGCAGGCAAAAAUUUUCUUUUCUUUUAUGUUGCAAUUCCUAAGAUUUCAUCUGCUCAUUCUCUUUUCUUGGCCGUUAUAAUGUAUUUCCUCCAUAAUGGCAUCUUGAGCAAUUAUGCCUAACAUGUAGUCAUAUAAUUAUUUAUAAGGGUUUUCUUUUAGGGAUUGGCUAAAUCAAUAAAUAUAUUUUUUUAUAGGAUCUAAAUCAAUUAAUAUUGUGAUUAAAUAGUGGAGGUGCAUUCUCAAUUUGAUAAUCUGGCAUUGCAGUAGCAAUUUAGCCCUUCCAAUAUUGAGAUGACAGGAUACCUUGAGGAGGUUUAACUUGAUUGAAAAGCAUGGCAGACAGAGGCGAGAGUAUACCGAGGGUGAUAGUACGGCAAGGAUUACAAGGAACUAUCUGGACUGUCUUUCAAGUCAUUAACCUGUUCAGACAUGUCCCAUUGGAUUAGCGGUAGAUCCUACCACUAAACCGAGACCUUGAAGCCACCUCACCUUAUGAGCAAGGGCAAUGAUUUACAACAAUUUGACCGUGGAAAAUUUGACAUAGGGUCUUAGUAAUUUCUAAAAAUUUUCAUAGAUAUAGAUAUGCAGGUUGGUUGGUAACAAUUCAAAUUAACUUGCUUAAGAAAUGCAGAAGCUGGUCCUCAGUUACAUAUUUUUGUGAGUUUGCCUCAACAGACACUGUUUCUCCUGCACUUUCUUCUUGAUGUAAAACUAAACAAAAAAAAUAGCUUGAAAAAUGGUGGACUAUGUAUCAUAUCUAGACAAUUUAUUAAUCCUUAUACACAAAUUUAAUAUUAGUAUGUUGAAAAUUUGCUUUGAUAGGCAUAUCAUAUAGAAAGAGUGUUUUAGGCAGAUAUAUAUUAUGAACCUUCUCUUGGCACUUUUUGGCGACUGUUGUAUACAUGAUGUGUACCUUGUUGCACCCUUUUUUGGCGCUUUUCAAUACAAUUGCUUCUUAUCUAUCAAAAAAAACAAAAAAAAAAAAGUAUGAACCUUCUUAUCAUUUUGCUAUUCACCUACUGUUGGAAUUAAUUUUCUCUCUUUCUUUAUUGGUGCAGUGAAGCAGAUGAAAUUUACAAAAUAUGCAGUGUUAUGGGCAGUCCAACUUGGAAUUCAUGGGCUGAGGGACUUAAACUUGCUAAUGCUAUCAACUACCAAUUCCCACAGGUAAGUUCUGUGUAUUGUAUAUGCAUUUUUGCAUAUGCCAUGCAUGUGUCCAAGUGGAUGUCAAGUUCUCAUUUGGUUUACCGGAGAUAUGUUUUGUAGGGAUGAUGAGAAAAGCAUAUUUUUUGAAAACCUUAAAAAUGUACAAGUGGUUGAGACCAUGAUGAUGAGGUAUUGAUGUUUGAGUUAAGUUCUCAUUUGGUUUACCAGAGAUAUGCUUUGUGGGGAUGAUGAGAAAAACAUAUUUUUUGAAAAACUUAAAUAUGUACAAGUGCUUGAAACCGUGAUGAUGAGGUAUUAAUGUUCGAGUUUGCAAGUCUGAAUACCUUCUAUAGAUGUGAACAUGUUUGCUUUUCUGCAAUCCAUGUGCCAUUUGCAUUCUAUAUUUGCAUGCAUCUAAGGAUGCCUUGUUUGACUUUGACCUCCUUUCCUUUCUAUUCUUGUCUACUUUGACAUGUUUGAGCCAUGGCCAUUUUUUUCCCUUUUUUUUUUUUGUUUUUUUUUGUUUUUUUUUUGUUUUUUUUUUUUGUUUUUUUUGUUUUUGGUUUUACCUCUUUCACUUCCUUCAAGAGAGAAUCAUCUUGGGCAUAUUACUUGAGAACCAGCUAUGGUGUUUUGUGCUUAUGCUUGCACCAUAGCUAUUUUGAGGUAACAUUGAGACAGAAUGGAACUGUGGUAACAAAAGAGGAGUGCCCCUCAAAAGUCUUUUUGCCUUAACCGAGCUAGGUCCUUGGCAUAGGUGCACCUUUAAUAAGAACCAAUAAAGAUUUUCAUAUGUGAAUCACUACCUUUGUAAUAUUGAACAGUUGAUAGCUCCAUUCAAUUCUAUUAAUUUUGCCGUUAAUUUCAUGGUUGCAGUUUUCUAGUAUUCAUCUCUCUGUAUUGAUACCAUCUGCAAGUGAGGAUGCAAUCAGCCUUAUUACUGUAAGCAUCAGUAACUCUGUUUCCUUCAUCCUUUUUUUCCUCACAUAUUUUCCAAACUUAUUUCUGUUUCACUCUUAACUAUAAACUGAUGCUGGUUAUUGUGUUGUGUGUGUGCUGGGGGGCAAGGGCUGCAAAAGGGAGUGUAUUGUGUGCUGUGUUAUUAGUAGCUUUUAUUUAUUUUUUGUUUUUUAAACAUGCAGUCACUUUGUUCAUGGGAUCCCUGCAAGAGGCCAACAGCCUUGGAGGCUCUUCAGCAUCCUUUCUUCCAGGUAUUCUUUUUGGGAAUUUAUUCAAUGAUAUAGUGUCCGAUCUAGCAAUAUGCAUUGUUGCCUUUCUCUGAGUUUAGGAUGUGGUGAUAGCCAGUUAUUUGACUAAUUUACACUGUUCUUUUUGUGGCAGAGUUGCUUUUAUGUCCCACCAUCCCUUCGUCCUCGAACUGCUGUGACUAGGACACCCCCAUCUGGUUUGUGUCUUUUUCUGUACCACCAAUGUUUGAUGCACUUUGGAUGAUGAAAUGCUUUUGGUUUUCCAGUUUCUGGAUGAGAUGUGUGAAUAUGAAUUUUUUUCCUUAACCUUGCAGGUGAAACAAAGGGAGCUUUGGAUCAGAAAUCUGGUAGGAGGUAUUCUAGGGCAACAUCUAAUUCCAAGCCCACAAGCAAUUAUUCUUCUGCAAAACCACAUGCUGCUUUUGUCACAGGUAGUGUGUCAUUUUGAUAUUUAAAUUUUAUAGCUGAUAUACUUAAGAUUGGAUUUGAUACCCCUUUUAGUUCUAUUGCUAAAUGACGAUGUGAUCUUGAAUUUAAUGAUAUCUUUGAGUGUAGUGUCUUUUUGAUGUUGCCACAAGUCUGAAAUAUGGAAUUGGCUAUAGUAGUAGUUUAUCUUAGCUGAUAUUUCCUACAGUUUUUUUCUUUUUCAACGUUGGAAGUGUCUCCAAAUCUCUGUAUCACCCCAAUAAUUGUUUUGUCAUCUGAUGUGUUCAUCAUAACUCUUCAUUUGAUUAGAUCUCACCCCCUCCUUAUGCAUACCAUACAUGGCCAUAUCUUAUUGUUCUGACAUCAUUCCCUGUCCAUGUAUACUCUUUUCUUAGUAAGGAAAAAAGAAACAGUAAUUUGGAACUCCAUAUGGAUAUGGAAGAUCUGGAUCACUGAUCCUCUUGAUAUCAUGCGGACAUGACUAGUUUGGAGGGAGUCUAAUCCCAUGGUGGCUUGGUGUGGAUCCAAGAAGUUAAGGUCUUUAGAUCAAGUUUUUGAUUAGGUGUGACCUGAUCCCGUGUGCAUGUGCAGGAGUGUGUGAAUUUCUUAUUUCCCUUUUGUUUAAAGCUACAAUUGUAUAAGUUGUCCACUAGAUCUUUUUAGAUAGAUGGGGAAAGGGACGGUUGUAGGGUUUUAUUUGUUGUUGGGCACCAGGACUCUGAUAUUGGAAAUGGUUCACAAAAAGGUUUAUGGUUGUCUAUGCCAUAAACAAUGCCAGAUUCCACCACAGCUUAAAGAAGAAUGCAGUUGUUUCAAUAUUUGUUGACAUGCUUUCUUUUUGAUGUAAUAUGCUACUUAAUAGAUGAUGCUAAUUUUAUUCCAAAAAUUCUUACAGGUGUUCAACGCAAGCUGGAAAUGAAUAAUCAGGUGAGUCUCCCUUUAGACGAGGACAAUACUAAAAGGAAAAUUUCCUUUUCCUUUGUCCAUAUGAUACAUAUUCAAGAUGUGAAGGCCCGCCUAUAUUUUUAGAAAAUCAUUGUAGUUUCUAACCAAAAGCAAUGACCUCUGCAACUGACUUAUGUUUUUAUAAUAAUUAUUAAGGCCUUUUAAGAUAUAUAUGAAUGAUCUAGUUUCUAUUUGUCCUGAAUAUUCUCUUCACCAAUCUUUGACUUUGGUUUUUGAUAUGUUGAGCACAGGAUGUUUAUAAGAAUGAUAAAUCCUUGAAGAGCUCUCCUAAGCAGCCAAGAUAUCGACCACCAGCAAGGAACAGCCCAAGUAAGCUCCUUGACUGCUUUAUUGGGUUCAUGCAAAUGUAGUUGUUGGAUGACAUUUUAGAAACGCAUUACGCCUUAAUUUUCCUUGUCCUGUUAAAGACCUUCAAUAGAAUUCUCUACCAUGAGAAGGAAGAGGGAUAAAAUAGUAAAUGUCCUAGCUCCUGCAUGCAUUCACAAUGUUUUUGUAUAAACAAGUAAAAUCCAGUGCAAUUGCCUUCAUAACUAACUUGAAAAAAAAUGUUAAAUGUUGCAGCUUCCAUUUAUGCGGAUAGGACUAAGCGUGAAGUUUCAGAUGCAGCUGAGAAGCUGGCAAACAUGACGGUUGGUUCUGGUAGGAAUGGAAUGAGGCAAUCUCUGCCAGCUCCUAUGAAGGCUGGAGGAUGGCAUGGCCAAUCUGACUCUUUUCUUGGCCGGUCCCAAGAGCUUCGACCAGGCAGAGCUGCCUAUACGAGGAAAGUUGCUGGAUAAGGAGAGGGGAGGGGGGGAAGUGAAGGGCCUCCUCUGAAUGGGGCCUAAUAGUGGGUUCAGCUUGGUGAUUGUGGGGGGUGCUCAUGGGAAUGCUCCGGUUCAAGCUUUCUAAAAGCUGAGACCCUAGGUACUUUGUCCUAUCGAUUCGGUGUGUUUGAUGCGGGGUUGACUACAAUUAUAAGUAUGCCUAGUUUAUGCAUAAAAAAGUUUGCGGGUUGCGCUUUGGAUAUUAUGGAUAAUAUAAUGCAGUGCUUGUACUACUACUGGCCUGGUGUGUAUGGUGGGUGGUGAUGCCCCCAAUAUAUAUAUAUAUAUAACAGUGCUUGAUAAAGGUGGAUUUGGAGUUGGAAUUAAGUUGGUUCUCCUGACUGGACUGAUGUAAUAAGAAGAUAACACCUUACUUAUUCAGUCUCUGGUUGUCUUUGGUUCCAGUUAUUAAUACACUAUUGGAUUGAGACUUAUGCUUGAGUUGUCCUAAUUAUUGUAUGGUUGAAUUCUAUAUAUUAUCUUUGGUAGCAACUGUUUUCCCUUGUCCAUGUGAUUAUGCUAAGAAUAAAGCUUGAAGUUGAACCUCCAUCUCUACAAUGAACAUUAGAGAGGAUACCAUUGUUUUUAUCCUCCAACAAAUCAUGUUUACCUUUCAUGGCAUGGGAGCUAGGAUCUUGCUAUUCAUUAUAAGGAUUUUUAUUUAGUGACUACUUUCAUCCUACAGAAGUCUCAGGAUAAGUAAUGUCUCAUUUGAACCUAUCCAAUUUCUACAAAAUUCUCAUGAAGCCAUCCCAACACUUAAGAAUUGGAGUCUUCAAAAGGAAGGGUGGAUCCUUAUGUCGAAGAAAAUACAAACUAAAUGUGCAUAAAAAACUACUAACACAACUAAUAAUAAAAAAAAGUAUGAGAUGGUGGAAAGGUACAAAAGAAGAAAUAUAGUCCAAAGGAGAAAGAAGUUACGUUUAAUUUCAAUGACCAACUCAAGCAAAAGCUCAUAAUUCCUAUUUCAUGGCAAAGUCAUUCCAUGAUAAAUAUAUGAUAAUAGUUCAUUUUCAAGCAUGUUAUAAAAUACAUGAUGAAAAAAGAUUUUCCCAUAGAAAAGAUGAAAGUCCAAAGAGAAAUACUUAAUCCUAAUAUGAAGACUUAUUCCUUACUCCAAGACUCAUAACCUUUGUUGUUGGAUUUUCUUGUAAUUAAGUAUUGAGUGGAGAGUUAAAAUCUUACCAUGCGUUUCACUCAGUGAAGAGAGUUAAUAUCUUACCAUGCCUCUCACAUGGUGAGUGAACUUGAGUUCUCUAUGAAUGGGCUUUCUUUUAACUCCUUAAUGAGGAAGGCUAGAAGGCUAUUGAUGCGAUCGUAUUUGACUUCAUGAUAAUGGAAAACAUGCCUUUAAGUGCUUUAUAUGUGAUGUCAUUAAAGUUAGAACAUAAUACAUGUUAUUAAUUAAGAUGACCACUAUGGGAGUGUUCCUUCUACUCUAUCAACGUUUCAAAUACUUACUAGAUGAUUCAUUAAUAGUAGAUAGGUAAUUUCUUAGUUGUAUGUCAUCUAAUUAUUAUUGGUUUUAAAUUUUGGUUGAUGAACACCCUAUAAAUUUAUUUUAUUUAUAUAAUUUAUUUUUUAGAUAGAUUUUAGAUAAAAAGAUAAUAUAUAAAUGUAUUUAGAGUGCAUUUGAUAGUGAUUUUAAAAAAUGUUUUUAGUAUUUUUUAUAUUUAAAAAAUUUUAUUGUUCAAGUAUUAGAAAUGUCAAAAACACUUUAUAGAAUCACUAUCAAACGCAUUUGUAAUAAUGGUGCCAUACCAGAAAUUUGAAACCAACGAACCUGAAGGUGCGAGGGAAAUUAACCCUUAAUCUCUAUACAUGUAUGGGUGUCCGCCCUUUGCACCGAUCAACACUGCUACGCGAAGAUGAAGCUAGCUCCCCACGAACGCUUCAACGUGUUAGUAGCUAAAUGCAUGGCUAUUAAAGGCAACUUGGACUCGCAAUUUCCAACGUCAACCUCUUCAUGUCCAUGCAAUCAUAAGAGUUAUGCCAAUAAGAAUAACAAUCUUUAAUUCUUUCUUGUUUUUUAUUUUCUUUUCUUUCUUCAAGUUGGCAAAAAAUCCAUUCAUUUGCAAGGUAUCGCACCUUGAAUAACAAUAAUAGCAUUAGUCAGUGAUUGAAACCACGGUCAGUAUGUUACUAGGCUAAAGGGUCGUGUUUGGCUGGUGAGAAAGUGUAGGGAAUUGGAGGGAACAAAAUAUUUGAAUAAUGCAUGGUCUCAAAUUUUGGGGUUCAUGAAAAGGAUAAAUUGUUUGGUUCUGUUUUCUUUGUUUCUCAGCUACCAAAUUGGGGAGGGUGUAAAUUGCUGUUCUCAUGAACCUUGUUGUUUGAUUUUUGAUUUUUUCACUUCUUUCUUCAGAGGAAGGUGGAAGAUGUGAAAGAAAAUCUCAAACCUUUUGUUAACUGAGGGACGACUACUUCUUGAUUUUAUUCUGCCACUAGAAUCAAACUCUUCAGUGAUCAAAAUCCCAAACCUUAAAAUCUAAAUAAAACCCAAUCUUUUUCUUUUUCUUUUUCCUUUUCCUUUUUCUUUUCCUUCAUUUUUUUUCAUCUGCUUGAUCAGACCACAGCAAGAUUAAGUAUGUGAAGAAUGAUUUGUUUGAUUUCCGAUUGACUUCUCAGAAUCUGUAGAGUCACUCCUACCAAAAAUCUAUAUAUGGACCAAGAAGGUGCCGUCCCUCAUCCUUGAAGCAAUUCUCUUCAGCAGAUGGAAAAAGGUUUGAGAUUUUCUUCCACAUCUUCAACCUUUCUCUGUACAAAUAAGAAUGUUACUGGGUAUAGCAAUUGUCAUUAAACAAAUUAUCUUAUUCUUGAAGAACCCCAAAAUUGAGACCAUACAGUAUUCAAAGAUUUUGGUUCCUUCCCUUUCCUACAUUUCUUCACCAAACAAACAUAAUGACUAGCCGGGUUUAAGCAUUGACAUGAAGCUAUCAUUGUAAUUCAUACCAAGAAUCCAAGAAAUGCAUGCAUUCAGCGUAUGAAAGAUUAUGAAAAGAAAAGAAAAGAAAAGAAAAGAAAAAACAAGGAAUUGAAAUUGUUCUUAUUAUUGGCGUACCCUUUACGAUUGCAUGGACGUGCAGAGGUCGAAGUCGGAAAUUGCGAAACUCCAACUGGUUUUCAUGGGCCAUGCAUUCAUCUGCUACCACGUAGAAGUGUUCGUGGAAAUCUUCAUCUUGCUGUUCCCGUGGCAGUGGUGAUGGGUGCACAGGAUGGAAAUCCGUCUUCUCGGUGAACUUGGUGUGUUUGGUUCUCGAGAAAAAUUACAGUACAAAAUCACUUUGGGGGUUUGACGGUUAUAUAUAUGGGCAUAGUCGGCAGGAAACCGAAAUUCAGACCCUGAGUUUGGCUUCUCUGUUGUGAGUCUUUUGUUGAAGAUUGCAGUGACCAACAAAACAUUGCCACGUGCACAAUUUUUUAAAAUCAAAAUUGUACUUGACAAAGUGUGUUAAAAGCAUAUAAUAUGCUUCUUAGAGGAAAAAAAAAUUACAUUCUUAGGGAGUAAUUUAUCAAUUGGUUGCAACUAAUGUUUCUCAUGUGUGAAGUGAUUUAGUGGUUUAGUUUCAUUAAUGUUAAUAACAUAACAUAUUAUCAAAAAUGUAAAUUAAAAAUAUUAUAAGUGGUGUUAUACUUAAUUUUAUAGUAUGUUUGACAGUGAUUUUACGAAGCGUUUUUAACAUAUUUAAUACUUGAAAGAUAAAAAUUUUGAAGCAUUAGAAAUAUUAAAAACACUUUUUAAAAUCAUUAUUAAACAUACUCUUAGUGUGUUUGACAAUAAUUUUUGAAAGCAUUUAUAGUAUUUCUAAUAUUUAAAAGGAAGUCCGUUUCAUAGAUGAUACUUUUCCAAUAUUUUUAAUAGUUAAAAAAAUUUAUCAUUCAAGUGUUAAAAGAAUUAUAAAUGUUUUUUAAUAUUACUUUCAAAUGCAUUAUUAAAAUAGUUCUUUUUCCUAUUUUAUAUAGCUAGGAAGAUAACUAUUUGCUACUUUAUAUUUAGCCUAUACUUCAAGACAGGAUGUUUCAAUAUUUUUUGUGAAAAUUUCACAUUUGAUCAAAAUUUUAAAACAUUUUGAAAGAAAUUGAAAAACUAGUUAUAAUGCUUUAUAAAGAACUAUUUGAUUCUCUCAAAAAAGCUUUAGUAAGAAUGUUGUCAUUAAAGAUAUUUCUACGUUACAAUUUCUUAUACAAACCUUUUUAUUAUUCACUAAUAAAAAUAAUUAGUUUCUUUUUAAGUAUUUAAAAUGAUAUUUAGAUGCAAAAAGAAAAAAAGUCAGCAUUCAACAUAAUUUUUUAUUAUUAUUUUUUUGUAGAUAGUAGUAAUAUUUUGCUAUCUCAUAUUAAAGAGCAAUUCUUUCAAGUGUUUAUACUUUGAACUUUAGCUUUACAUGAUCAUUGUUAUGCCAUAUACACUUGAGAUUACUAUCGAUUACAAUCUCAGUCUCCUCUUGAUACCCAAUUAAGAAUACACUUGGGUUUGCCUUAAUAAAUAAAAAACAAAUAGUAGGAAGGAGAUAUGAAAUUAAAUCAAUCUAUUUAAUUAGAAAUUACACUAAAAUAAGAUUCUAAAAAAAAAAAACACUUUCUAUUGUAGAAAAUAUUUGAAAUUCAUUACGGCCAAGACAACUCUCCUCUUAUUCUCAUUUAGAAGAGACUGAUUUAAAUAUUAAGAUAAACCCUAUAUAAGGAUCAUUUAAAAAAUAUAAUAAUUUGUGUUUCAGCUUUGAAAGUUGGUCGAUUGAUAUAUUAGUCUAAAACUAUUUUGGAUGCAGAUGAUUUAUCUACCCCUCCAUGAGAAUGAUAAAAUAUUUUGCUAAUUUGAUUAAUUCAAAAUUACUCUUAAAUACCAUUUAAUUAAAAAAAAUACAGAAAUUUUAGAACGUAGAUGAUCAAUUUUUGCACUCAUCCACAAUAUCAAAACUGUUAUAUAAAAUAGAAAAAAGAAAUAAAGUAAAUUAAAUAUUAGAACCACUUAUUAUAACAUUUUUAAUUUACUUUAAUACAAUUUGUCAUAUACAAUUUUGAUUUAAAAAAAUUGUGGACGUGGCAAUAUUUGGUUGGUCACUGCAAUCUUCAACAGAAGACUCACAAGUAUAGAGAAGCCAAACUUAGGAUAACUAGUGAGAGAGAGAGAGAAGAUGGAUUUCCAUCCUUUGCAUUGAUCCCCCGAACAGUUCAUGGUGGUAGCGGCUGAAUGCAUGGCCAUUAAAGACAACUUGGAGUAUCGCAAUUUCCAACUUCAACCUCUUCAGGCCCAUGCAAUCGUAAGGGUUACGCCAAUAAGAAGAAUCUUCAGUUCUUUCUUGAUUUUUCUUUUCUUUUCUUUCUUCGUAAUCUUUCUGAUACUGAAUCCAUUCAUUUCUUGGUUUCUUGGUAUACUGCUUUAUUCACCCAUCUCUUAAGUUGGGAGAAAAUCCAUCCUUUUGUACGGUAUCUCACCAUGAAUAACAAUCAAUAAGUUACAAGGCUAGGGUCGUGUUUGGUUGGUAAGAAAGUGUAGGGAAUCGGGGGAACCAAAUAUUUGUAUACAGCUGCAUGGUCUCAAAUUGUGGGGUUCAAGAAAAAGAAAGCAUGUUUGGUUCUGUUUUCUUUGUUUCUCAGCAACCAAAUGGGGGAGGGUGAAAAUUGCUGUUGUCAUGAAUCUUGUUGUUUGAUUCUUUUCUCUUUUUUUCUUCCCACUUCUUUCUUCAGAGAAAGGGUUCAAGAAGAUGUGAAAGAACAUGUCAAACCUUUUGUUAACUACUGUUGCUUCACGGAUGAGGGACGACACCUUCUUGGCCCAUGGAUUCUUGGUAAGAUUAAUCCUACAAAUUGUUGUGUCAAAUACUCCCCUGGGACUUCUAUUGCUUUGAGCGUUGCAAACCAAGAAAAUAUACUCUGUAAUUUUCUUUUAUUUAUUUUUCGUUUCUCAGCAACCAAAUGGACAUCGCAGGAGGGUCGACUUCAAUGCAUGAAGGAGCCAGCGGCAAAGUACGAAGGGGAGGUGGCCAUGAGCUCAAAAGCAACAUAGCCAAUCCAGUUGUCCUGGUGCACCACCACCAGGUCUUCCACCAGCACCUCCAUCUAUUCAUCCUCCUUAUCCUAUCAUUCGUGUGUCUAAACCUGUACCAACACCAUACACUGGGGAAAGCCACCACCAUAUCAUCCUCCUUUUUCCAUAUCGUGUGCCUUUGUUUUUAAGCUGAAAUGAUUGAAGAAAAAAAAUUUGAAGUUAAUAAAUUUUUUUUAUGUUCUACCUCAAACUUAUUACACUUUUUUUAUUAUUCUACAUGAAGAUUAAAUAAUUUCAAAUUACAUAAAUUUUUUACUAAUUUUAAUUAUAUUUAUUUAUUUAUUUUUACUAUUUUUUUAUAAUAAAAUCAAACCUGAAAAAAAAAAUUUCUUAACAUCUUUUUUCUUUCUUAAUUUUUGAGAAUCCAACAUAGUUUUAAGUUAUUUUUAGUUGAAAAAUGAUUUUCUCAUAUUUGAUUUUAUUAUAAAAAAUAUAAAUGAAAGUGCUCUAGUAUGGUGGUGGCACGCAUAGGCUUUCCCCUAGUCUAUGGCCUAGUUGGAGGUUUAGAUGUAUGACUAGGUGGUCGUGCACCCAAACCACUAGGUGGUCAUGGUGCUUUUGAGUUCAUAGUCUACUCCCAUUUGUAUUGUUGGGAAGUUUAAGGCAAAUCUAGAGAAUCAGCUGGUACUAGUAAAGAUUGCAUUACGAUAAUAACAACCUCUCGAUAAUAAUAAAAUUCAAUAAGAACAAACACUUGAAAACAGGUAAAAAGAUUUCAAUGAUAAUAACGAACUUUCAAUAAAUAAAUAAAAAACUUGAAAACAGGCUUGCUAACUUGAUGGCUGUGAUGAAAGAGCAGGCCUUCAAUUCAUCAAACCGCAACACUUGAUCUUGCCCCGCUUGCUGCUUGCAUCGAAAACUACGUUCACUCAAUCCUUCAGGUAGGAUUCUUUUAUAAACAUUGAGAAGGUAGAAGAUUGACAUAGACUGUAGGCCUUUCAUUGAAGUUGAAUUCACUUUGUUGAUGCAAAAUUUUAUUUUGAUUAGUUUGAUAUUACUGUAGAGGAAAUUAAUUUCACUAAAAAUAAUCUUGUAUCUUCGAGACCAAUCCAAAAACUGAAGAGCAUAAAGUCGACUUUAAGAAUAUUUGUAACAAAAUUACCAACCUAAAUUAGCCAGUCUAACUAACAUGAGACAAAUACAAGACUGGUUUUCAGUAAACUUCGUUGGAUACAUUUUAUGACUUCUUGCUAUAAUUUUUGGUGUUUGAUUUGUGAGUUUGAAGAAUUUGAAGAAAAAUAUGAAGAAUUUGAAGACAAACUAUGGAGGAACACCUCAAUUCAUUCUAUGAUUUUUUUUUUUUUUUUUUUUUUUUUUUUUUUACAAUGAAUGAAAGCAUAAAUAAAUAGCCUACAGAUAUGAGACAAUUCCGGAAUGGAAUUUUCCUUACAUGGAAAGUGAAUAAACUCUUACAUGGAAAGUGAAUAAACUACUCUUACAUGGAAAGUGAAUAAACUACUCUUACAUGGAAAGUGAAUAAACUACCUUGCUAGAAUUACUCCUAAAUCAAUUAUAAUAAAGGUUGUACAUUACACUAAUUAGGGAAGUAAACAGAGGAUGCUGGCUUGAUUUCCAACAGAGUUUGUAGUAUUAUGUAUGCUAGCUUUGCUGAGCUACAUUUCCUGGAAGAAACUGGACAAAUGCAUUAAAGAAAAAGAAAAUGCAUUUUGAAUUAUUAAUUAAUGUACUGCUGUGCCAUGGGCAGCUCCUUGGAAAAUCAAGCUCUUGGCCUAAGCAUGCACCGUCUGCAGUGGGCCACCAGGCCAGAUAUACGUUUGGUUGUUGAAACAACUGGUGUUGUCGGCUCUAAAUUAAUCUGGUGGCAUCAUUCAUAUGGUGUUUACUCUGAUUUUGAUAGGUAUGCUGCCACUAAACACUCAACACCGCACCUUCGCACUCUCCUCUUUUUCAAAUUAGACAGUGGAAGUUUUGGGAUGCCACAAGUUCAUUUUAUUAGCAAAUGUUUCAAACUGCUUAGAGUGCUAGAUUUUGAAGGCAUAGAAAUUGGAAGCCUGCCCAGCUCAUUUGGGAAACUUACUCAUUUAAGGUAUUUGGGCUUAAGGGGAACUGGCUUAGAAACUCUUCCAACAUCUAUAGGCAAUUUAAGGAGUUUGCAGACAAUGGAUACAAGCUGUCUCAAGUAACUACCCGAUGUGAUUGGAGAAUGGAAAAUCUAAGGCAUCUUUCCUUGGAUGGAAGAAGGGAUGAUAUGCUCCUGCGGAUUGAAACUCUUCAAAAUCUCAGGACAUUGUCAGGCAUAAGGGUCAAUAAGUGGAAAUGAAAUGACUCGAGCAUGUCAACAUGCCUUCAGAAAUUGAAGAUAGAAGGAAAUUUUGUCUCCGAAGGAGUUGAGUUCUCGCACUCCAUCGCCCAGCUCGGACAAUCUUCAAUCCUUGUAUCUUAAGGCAUCAGAUGCCCCCAGGAUUCCACACCUAGUCAUGAAUUCAUGGUUCCAUCUCUUUAAGCUGGAAAUGAAGGGCCGUAUACGCAAACUACCUGAUGUACUUUAGUUCCCACCAUGUCUCGCCAAUCUGACUUUAGAAGCCUCAGGUCUCGACCAUGAUGGUGUGGCCACCUUGGAGAAGCUGCCAAAUUUGUUAACUCUUAGAUUAAAGGAGGAGUAGUACCUUGGAGAGGAAAUGGAAGUAUCUGCAAAUGGAUUUCCUCAACUCAAGAUAUUUCUGUUUUUGAGCUAACUCGAUUGAAGAGGUUGAAUAUAAAGAAGGGUGGCAUGCCAAAGAUAAUGCAUUUGGAGUUUUAUACAACCCUUUUUGGACUUACAAAUACGUAGGCGGCUCAAACGCGAGACUUUCCACCAAACCAAGGUCUGAUAUUAGGUUAAAUUACCAAUUUUUCUAUGAAGUUCAACAUGCAUAUCAUGUUAACGGCUUAAAAAAUUAUCCUUUUUUUCAUUAUAUUUAUAUUCAUGAGUGGUCAAAAUUUGUAUUGUUGUAACCAUGGGUAUGUUUUGAUCAAUCUUACGAUUAUAGGCUAAUUUGAUUGUGUUACUUGAUUAUUAUAACUUUAUGAGUUGUCUAAUUAUGUGCUAUUACGUAUUCCUUGUUUAUUUUCACUUGCUUGUAUAUAUACCCGUACCCUUUAAAAUGUAAAAAAAAAAAAAAAUAAAAAAUAUAUUUUUCACUAUAUAAAUAUAUUCUUCUUAUUCUAUUGAUAAAAUAUUAUUGUGGACCCUGCAUUUCGGCUCAUGCGUUUUCCACUCGAUAGUGAACUCGAUUUUUAUUUGAAAAAUUGAUUUUAUUUAUUGUUUGAAAAUGACUUGGAGUCGUCACUUAUUUUUGUUUUAUUUUUAAAAGGGUAAACAAAAUAAGAAAGAAAACCCUAAGUGUGACUCCUUAUUUUGGAAAAAGUGGUCUGUGAAAAACCGGAUCGAGUUCGAGGGUCAAGUUACUUAUCGGGAAGGUACGGUAAAGACCAUAACACCCCUCUAAGUCCCUAAAGUCAGGUCUCUACUAAUAAAAUGAAGCUGACGUAGCGAUCAAUAAGAAAAUCAACGGAUACUCAAAUCGACCGUGCACAUAUGGGAAUUAGAACAUGCAUAGAGAAUGACCAGAAUGAGAGUGGAUGCAUACUUGUGCCACGAAUGAGCAAUGCGCUAUCAUAAAAAUAGAGUCAGUGUAUAAUAAAGAGCACAAAACAUAUCACAGGCGUCACCAAAUAAAAAUUAAAAAUUGUUCAAGGGAAAACUGGAUUUUUGAAAUUUAUUUUGAAAAUUGGAGUCUUAGGGAUUAUUUGAAAAUUGAAGUGUAAAUAACUUUUUUGAAAAUUGAAUAUAACUGAAAUUGAGAAAAUAAACUGAUUUUUUUUUUGUAAGUAAAUAAAUUGAAAUCAUUAAUUCAAAAUCAUUUUUAGAUAAAAUCCUUUGAAAUUUCUUUAAAACCUUUUUUUUAAUAUCUUUUAUUUAUUUAAUUCAAUCAAUCAUUUUGCAUAAUUCUCUUAUUAUUUAUUUUAUGUACUUUUGUAAUUAGAUUUCAUCAUUGUUUUUGUGCAUAUUAACUUUCACCAUGACUUGUAUAUUGAUUAUUUUUCUUGGUGUCCAUAAUUAAUUAAUUAAUCGCCACAAUUUCUCAAUUCGUUUAGUAAAGGCCGUACGUAUACAGACUUAGAGGGGUGUCACAGCUCACCACCGUACCUUCCCAAUAAGUAACCUGACCCCCGGACCCAGAUUUGGUUUUUUAUAGACUCGUUUUUUCCUUCAGGAGUCACACUUAGGGUUUUCUUUCUUAUUUGGUUUUUCCCUUAAAAAAAAUAAAACAAAAAUAAGUGGCGACUCCAAGUCUUUUUCUAAAAAUUAAAUUUUCAUCAAAUAAAAUAAAAUGCGAGUUUCGCCAUCAAGUGGGAACGUAUCAAGCAAAAUGCGGGAUCUACAAUUAUUUUUUUUUCUCUUGAAUAUCUCUAUUUAAAGGACUAUGGGGAGUUAUGUAAUUAAAGAUAUCAAUAAAAAAUCUUCUAGCUAGCAUUGUAUAUUUCCUCCAUUUUUCCAUAAAGACAACAAGAAUCCUAAAACAUGCAUCUACUUUCCUAAGUUUUUAAUAAUAGUUUUAAAAAAAAUGAUCUCCAAUGUAUUACAGAAUAAAACUUUGUUUGAUAAUUUGAAAUAUUUUUUACCUGUUUUCUAUAUUUUAAAAUAUAUAGUUAAAAUAAUUUUUAGUUUCAAUGAUUUUCUAUUUUAUAUAAUUAUUUGCUAAAAACAACUUUCCAAAAAAAGAAAUGAAAAUAACAUUAAAUAACUAAAUGACAUUUUCUAAAAACGCUUUAUUUUUUACUUUUAAAAACACAAAUUAUCUUAUUAUGGACCCCGCAUUUCAGCUCAAUGCGUUUCCCACUCGAUGGCGAGCUCGAUUUUUAUUUGAAAAAUUAUGAUUUUUAUUUAUUAAAAAAAUGACUUGGAGUCGCCACUUAUUUUGUUUUAUUUUUAAAGGGUAAACAAAAUAAGAAAGAAAAACCCUAAGUGUGACUCCUUAUUGUGGAAAAGGUGGUUUGUGAAAAACCGGAUCGGGUUCGGGGGUCAGGUUACUUAUCGGGAAGGUACGGUACGGACCGUAGCAUCCCUCUAUGUCCCUAAAGUCGGGUCUCUACUGAUAGGAUGAAGCUGACGUGGCAGUCAAUAAGAAAAUCAAUAAACACUCAAAUCGAUCAUGCACAAUAUGAGAAGCAAAGCAUGUAUAAAGAAUGAGCAAAAUAUGAAUAGAUGCGUACCUGGGCGGCAAUCACGAAUGCGCUAUCAUGAAACAUGGUUAGUGAACAAUGAAAAUAUAUAAUUAAGCGCAUAUAAAGGAAUAGAGUAAAACAAUCAUGCAUGGCAAAUAAAUCAAUCAAUCAAUCAAUCGAUUAGUCAUGAAAUCAAGUAUGUAGGGCCCCCACCAAGGCCCGUUUAUUUUAGCAUGAAUUAAUUUCGUAAAUUCCAUUAAUUGGAAUUACAAAAUUUAAUCCUUACUUAUUUUAAAACAUUUUAAAAAUCAAAGAAAGUUCAAAAAUGGCUUGCCGGAAAGAAAAAUGGCGGCCAAAUUUUAUUGAAAAUGGGAUUUUGGUACCUAAAACUAUAAAGAUGAGAGAUUUGAUGAUUUGAAUUCGUUUUAAAAAAAAAACAGAAGUUGGAAAAACAUCUGAAGACGAGGUUUAGGAAACUAUUUUUGAAAUCAAAGGAAAACAAUUUUGAGGGGGUGGCACGUGAUUCAAAAAAGUGGCCAUGCAAAAGGUAGCCUUACAGUGAGAAUGGGUGCUUGAAUAGUCUCUUGAUUAGGCAAUGGCAUUGUGAGGCUCUGCUUAUCUUUGGGAUCCCACGGCUAUCACCAUUCUAACAGCCUUCAUGCUUGGGGUAAAGGGUAUUGUAGUGGCUCUACAAACUCCUUUGUCGUGGCAGAUAUCAAUGAAGCUAACCUCGAUGGCCUGAUUCUUCACACAGAUCUCACCCUCAUUUGAUUCUCUUAUUUCGGCAUCUUCCCACGUCAGGAUCUCAAGACCAUCAAGUUCAUGAACCUUGAAGGCUCUUACCAUGAUUGCAGCUGCUGACUUUGGGCAUGAGCCUGGGAAAAGCGCAUUUGAGGAUUGGGAUGUGGGUAUGGAGGAUUGGCUUAUGAGGGCCUGGUGAAUGAGAGUGCGAGUGAUGGAUGAAGGAAAUGGGUUCAUAGGGCGAUGGAAGAAAUGAGUUUGGUGACUGAAUAGAAGAUAGAGAUGGGAGGUGGGGUGACGGGCAGGACGAUAGGUUAGAUGGAGGGAGGUUUGGUGAAUGAAAAUCAAUCGGGAAGUAUGGAGAGUGAGUAUCAGGAUAGAUUCAGCAGGCAUGAAUAUAGUGGAGAGAGAAAAGGUAGGGACAGGUUAGGUAGUAGACGAGUGGUGAUGUGGUCAGGUCUGCAUGGUAGAUGGAGAAGAAAAACGUAAAAGGGUUGAUGGGAAUGAGUAUAGAAAUGAUGGCACGACUUGCAUGUGAAAGUGAGAAAAAGGCUAUGGGUAGGUAUAAGACGUAAAAGAUAGGUGCGAAAUGAUCAACAAGAAACCUGCACCAUUCGGCAUUGCAACAUCCUUAUUCCUAUGCCCAUUUGGAUGUUUGCUCCUUUGCAUGAACAGCUCGUUUGAAACCUCCAUAAGAGCAAUUGAGAGACAGAGAUUACUUUACCUUACCAUCAUCAAAUCUAUGAUCCUCACCACCCUCUGAAAACCCUCCUCAUCCCACUAUUCAUUUUUACCUGGAUGUCCUGCCACACUAAAACAUGCUUCCCAUGUUUGGGAAAAACACGCUGUGCAUGUUUCCCAUCUCAGAGAACGUUUCAUGGAUACUACCACAGAACGUGACAAAAGGAUCCAUGCGAGGCACUCACUGGUGUGUCAUGCUUCCAUGACGGUUCACUAGUACCUAAGUAUGCUAGUCAGUGGCGAUGACAACCCAUGAGAGUGCCGGUUUAGGACCAUACAACUCAAUUUGAUCUUUCCCUGUGCUUUAGUCUUAGUUGUCAACAAGCUAACUUGCGACAUCUUCCUUGCUAUCUCGGAUGCAUAGACGGGAAACAAGAGGAACUGUCAGACCAACUCCAAAUCCACCCAAUAACCUUGCCAAAUAUAGAACAUAAACGUCGAGAGACCAUAAUUUUUCAAGGCCACUAAGGGAAUAAAGAACAGAUAAGAAUUGUCAACAUUGGAUGCCGUCCGAGCCAAUUUGCUAUAGGUCCAGAGGAAAGUUAUGGUAGCAGUGACUCCAAUCAAGGACAUGCCUGUAAUCAAUCCUUCUACAGUUGGUUCCAUUUGUGAAUAAACCUUUUUUUUUUUCUUUUUUUUUUCUUUUUUUUUUUUUAUGUAAAGAAGAGCCCCUGCAAUAGUUCUUUAACUGGCACUACCGUCAACACACAGUCAAAUGAUCAAACCUCAAGAUGUAUAACAGCACCAAACCAAAUAUUUCAACCCAGAAUCCUCACCCACCGAGGACAUAUUCUUUGUAAUCCCUUGUUCCCAUAGGCGAAGAUGAGAGAAAUAACGUGCCCUAGGAGCAGGUACCAGAGGCAGGGGAAGGUGGGGAAACAGAGCACAAAAUAGGAUGAAUAAAUAAAGAGAACCUCAGAAGAUUCACUUCAUGAAUUGUCAAUGAACCUUCCGAGCAGGUGGGAAAAUCACAUCAAAUGCUAUUACAGACAUGAUUCUUGGACAUUUCAUAACCACAAUAGGAUCUGAGCAAGUUAAAAAUGGACAAAUCCACACAAAAGCAGAGAUAUAAUGCAACAAACAAGUUGGUGCCCUUCAAUAUCCACCCCAAUCAACAUAAUGCUAAAGAAAUCACUAGCAAGCUGAGGAAUAAUAGUAAAAAAAAAAAUGAGAGGUAAGAGGAAUGUCAUGUCCAUACCUGGGUUCUUCAAACAAAGAAAAACCAAUCUUCAGCUCUUUUCGAUGAAUCUCUUUCCCUCUCUACCACAACUUACCUCCUAAGAAAAUUCAAAAUCUCUGGUUUUCUCCUCCCCUACUCUCUCAUACGCUCCUCUGCUUAAAACCUCCUCUUCCUUAGCAGCCUGCUCACUGCAAAAUCAGCACCCUCUCUCCAGAAACAUGCUCCAUUUUUCUUAGUUUCUCUCCCUCAACUCUCAAGCUCUCCUAUCCUCCUCUAAACUCCUCUCGGCAGCACCUCCCUCAUAAAUAAAAAAAAACUCUCUCUCUCUAAAAUAUCUCUAACGACCGAGCCUCUGUCCCCACUACCCUGCAGCUGCCAGCUUCUACUCCCCCCUCAUGCAGCUGGAAACCUUCCCAUAACAGAAUAUACGCUCCCCUGAUUCUAGGAUGUUCUUCACUUUCCAGGUGCCUUCCUCUAAUUGGUCCAUCAAUUCCACGAUUUUGAUCCCAUAUUGACUAAUCCGGGAGUGACACGUGGCCAUGCAAGAUGGUGACACUUGGCCACAGCUAGCUACAAGAAAGAAAACGUGAGAAGAAUGAUAGCUCCCCAAAAUGGGGGUCUACAAAUGUGCCCCUCUUUGGUAGAGUUCACAAGUGUAAGGAACAUGAACACUAGAGUGAAAAGCAAGUGUGAAUAGUGAGUGGAAUGAAGUGAACUCUACCGAAGAACAAAGGAGACCCCCACAGGGACACUAGCAAAACACGAAUUCGCUCAGGUUGACAGACUAACACAAAGGCUCUGAUCCUAAAACAAAAUGAUGUCUCAAAAUGCCUCUGCAGCCACACUAGGGAUCCAAGCUCCCUCUAAGACAUCUCCAAAAAUGACUUGAAGAUCGAUGUCCAAGAUGAGUAACGGUCGAACCACCCUGGAGUACAAGAAAGAAUGUGCCCGAAGGAGACUGCCCUAUGUGAACUAUACGAGAAUGCCAAGUGUAGGGUGCCCAACAACAUGAUCGAAAUAUGCGUCACAGACUCAAAGAACUAUGUUAUGUGCAAUGGGAAGGGAAGCCUAGAAGAGCAAUGAUGAAACGAUAAGCAUAAGGUAACAAGGUGAGGAGAACGAGAAUAAGUGCAAAUCCAUGAAGGUGAGACGUGCAAUGCCAGUGAAUAUGAGUGUUAGGAGUUGUGACCCUGAAUGUCAUACUGAAACAAAGACUUGGACGUCGAACUGACCUGAUAGGAAGACUGAAUGACCGAUCUAUAUGGGUGCGGUCCCGACUCAAACUAAACACAAAUUGAUAGAAAAAUGGCCGAUCGAUAUGGGUGCGGCCUCGACUCAAACUGAACUAGCAUGACAAGGAGAUGGUCGAUCGAUAUAGGUGCGGCCCCAAGAACUGAACUGUCAUGACAAGGAGAUGACCGAUCGAUAUAGGUGCGGCCCCGACUCAAACUGACACGAUAAUGACUGAUCAUAUAGGUGUGAUCCUAAAAACUGAACUGACAUGACAAGAAGGUGACCGAUCGAUAUAGGUGCGGCCCUGACUCAAACUGACACGAUAAUGAUCGAUCGAUAUAGGUGCGGUCCCAUAAACUGAACUAUCAUGACGAGGAGAUGGCCGAUCGAUAUAGGUGCGGCCCCGACUCAAACUGACACGAUAAUGACCGAUCGAUAUAGGUGUGGUCCCAGAAAUUGAAUUGUCAUGACAAGGAGAUGACCGAUCGAUAUAGGUGCGGCCCCGACUCAAACUGACACGAUAAUGACUGAUCGAUAUAGGUGCGGUCCUAGAAACUGAACUGACAUGACAAGAAGAUGGCCGAUCGAUAUAAGUGUGGCCCCGACUCAAACUGACACGAUAAUGACCGAUCGAUAUAGGUGCGACCCUGACUUAAACUGACACGAUAAUGACCGAUCGAUAUAAGUGCGGUCCAAGAAACUGAACUGUCAUGACAAGGAGAUGACCGAUCGAUAUAAGUGCGGCCCCGACUCAAAAUGACACGAUAAUGACCGAUCGAUAUAGGUGCGGUCCCAGAAACUGAACUGACAUGACAAGAAGAUGGUCGAUCGAUAUAGGUGCGGCCCUGAAUUAAACUGACACGAUAAUGACCGAUUGAUAUAGGUGCGAUCCCAGAAACUGAACUGUCAUGACAAGGAGAUGGUCGAUUGUUAUAAGUGCGGCCCCGACUCAAACUGACACGAUAAUGACCGAUCGAUAUAGGUGCGGUCUCGACUCAAACUGAAUUGAUAGGAAGAUGGCCGAUCAAUAUAGGUACGGCCCCGACUCAAACUGACACGACGAAUGACCGAUCGAUAUAAGUGCGGUCCCGACUCGAAUUCAACUGAAAGGAAGAUGGCCGAUCGAUAUAGGUGCGACCCCGACUCAAACUGACACGACGAAUGACCGACCGAUAUAGGUGCGGUCCCGACUCGAACUGAACUGAUAGGAAAAUGGCCGAUCGAUAUAGGUACGGCCCCGACUCAAACUGACAUGAUGAACUGACAAGAUGAUGACUGAUUGAUAUAGGUGCGGUCCCGACUCAAACUGAACUGAUAGGAAGAUGACCGAUCGAUAUAGGUGAGACCCCGACUCAAACUUAAACUGAUAAGAUGAUGAAUGACCUGAUCAAAUGGCCCAAAGCCAAAUGAUAACCCAGAUAAUGAUGCAAGUAAACUCGGGAGGGGAUAUGCCCUAGUAUGACAACUCAUGAGGAUUGACAACUAGGUCGAAAGAUAAUGAAGCCUAUGAAAGGUCCGAUGAUCCUAGGGAAGGAGGGUAUGCCCCAGUAUGACAACUCAUGAGGAUUGACAACUAGGUCGAAAGAUAAUGAAGCCUAUGAAAGGUCCGAUGAUCCUAGGGAAUGAGGGUAUGCCCCAGUAUGACAACUCGAAGGGGUUAACAACUAGAUCAAAAAGUGAAUGAAACCUAUGGAAGGUCUAGUGAUCCAGGGAAAGAGGGUAUGCCCUAGUAUGUGACAGUGAACAGACUAAGAUAUACAAUGUCUCAAAACUACUGUACUCUGAAAUAUGCUCAUCCAUCAUGUAAUGAAAAUGUCCAACCUCAGAUGGGUAAUGCCAAACAGGACCAUGUAUCGUGACAUCAUGCUGACAAAACAAAACUAAUUGGUGAAUAACAACAAUAGUGAUCAGUGCUCAAAAUGCAAAGAGUAAGCAAAACAAUACUCAACAUGCCAACUGUCAAAGUGAAAACAUUGUCACUAAUAAAUCAGUAAUCUGUCAGGCCCUGCCAUCAUGGAAGAUGUUGAACCUAAAGUCCGAAAGAUGCAUGAAAACACAACCAAAGUGAUCAAAGACUGAUCCACAUCUCCUCCUAAUCGAGAUAAGGGUGAGGUCAGGUGUCACAGUGGGAUGUGUAGGAUAAAAUAAGGUGAUGAUCAGGGUGAAAUAACUGAGUACGAGAUGAAAGGUAUGUAUCCAAGAUCGUCCAAGUAUGCCGAGAAGACUAAACCCGAGGUAUCAGGAGCUCCAUAAUCCAUCGAAAAGCAGUAAUCACAAACAGGAAGUCAAAUCUCGAUGUCAAAACAUCCAACUAGGCGGCUAUGCCCCAGUAUGCAAUGAAGACAACAUGAAAUAAUCCAAUGAUCUCCAUAUCACUUGUCAGAUGCUCCAAUGUCAAGAACCAAUCUGAUCUCCCUCUAAAAUAUGGACAUGCCCCAGUGUAAAGCAAUGCGUCCGAGUCAACAAAUCAAUCAAUCUCUACUCCGGGUGCUAAAAAUGGAAACAUCUCAACGUAGUCCAUAUGAAUCAGAAUCCCAGGGCUCUAUGAAUGUGAAUGAGGUGGCUAUGCCCCAGUAUAAACCACCUGAAGUGACUAUGCUCCAAUGAAAAAUCAAAGUCCAACGCCAACUAGAAGGCUAUGUCUCAAUACGUGCAAUCUCUGAAGCAACUGUGUCUCAAAAUGGACCAUCAUCUCAAAAAUCAACCAUCAAUGAGUAGAAUGUGUCCCAAUGUAGAACAUCGAGUAGAGUGACUGUAUCUCCAAUAAAAGCGCUCUCUGAAAUGGCUAUGCCCCAGUGUAGGGUCAUCUAACAACUCCUGAUCCAUCAUAAUCCAAUGUGAAAGAAGCAAACCGACUAUGCCUCAGUGCAAAACAUCAUCCCGAAAGAAACUGUCAUCGAUGAGUGGGGUAUGCCCUAGUGUAGAUCACAUCACCUCUGAAAAUCCAUCGCUGAUAAGAAGGGUAUGCCCUAGUGUAAAUCAUCAUCUCAACUCCCCAUCCAUCAUGCUCCAAGGAAUAAUCUCCGACUAAUCUCGAGUAUUGCCCAUGCGUGAGCCAUCAAGCACAACGUGUGAAGUCAUGGCCUCAGGGUGGUCUUCAGACUCGGGACGUAACGUAGGCUAAGGUAAUAGGGUGAAAGAAAUGAAAGGAAACUAGGCUCAAAGACCCCAAUGAUAUAAUCCCCCAUACCCCUCAUGCAUGAGAUGCAACGCGUAGAAAACGUCAUGAGUCCCAAACCUAGGAGUCCCCACACGAAAAGUGAUGAUAAAUGAAUGGUCACAUCGAAUAAUCAAGCGUGAAGUGCGGAUGCUAAACCCAAGUCAAACAUAAAACAGUAUGAGAAAAGAAUGAGAUAAGAUGAAGUAGGGUGAAACGGAGGAAUAAAAUAAAAAAUAAAGAUAGUAGAAGGCGAAGAGAUAAAAAAAUGAGUGAUGGUCAGCCCACAUCAAAGCAUGAAAAGUAGUCACAUCCAAAAUAGAUAGAAUGAUGGAUAGAGUAAAGAUCCAGAGAUACUAAAGAAAAUGUCGCUCGUCUCUCUCACAAAAACGAAUGGGCGACUCAUACUCUCACCCAAAAUAUACCAAGAUAGAAUCACAGAAAGAAGCUCUCAUACGAACUCUCUCUAUCAUAUGAACUCAAUGAAGCAACUUGGCAUGUCCAUACACAUGCCUAAUGAAGAAUGAUACGAUGAAUAAUGCGCUAUCAUCAUUUUUUAUUUUAUCUUUUUUUUUUUUUUUUUUUUUUUACGCGUACUCUGAUCAAUAGUGAAUGAUAUCCCAUAAAAUACAUAGCUAAAUGAAUAAACUCUUCCCAUGUACUGAUGUAACAUGAAUCCUCACUAACAAGACAACCUCUCAAAAAUAAGAUCUUUGGACCACUACCCAUAAGGUGAAUGGGGGAAAGAACGUGACAAUCCUCCAUGCAAUGACGUGUGAGAAACCACCACUCAAGGUGAAAUACGGAUACUGUCGAGUAAGCAAUGAUGAAAGAAAAGACAGAGAACGAAUAUCACAAGAGGUGAUAUGUGAUAUCGGAAAAUAAUGAUGAAAUGAUGUCCAAGUGGAAAAUAUCACAAUGAAGAGUGAAGAAUGAGGCUCGAAUAUGUAUGUCAGGUCCGGAACUCAUGAUGUAUCCAAACAUAGCAUGCAAGCACUACAGGGUCCCCAACCAGGUGUAAUAGGUAAAUGAGGUGAUGAAAGAAAAGGCUAUGUGCUCGUGUGAGGCUCAAAGGGCUAGCAACGGGUAACUCUAUAUGUGAGGGUGAUAAAGUAAAUAGGCUCAUGAAAUGAUGGCCACCCAUCAUUUGACCAAAACCUCAAACAUCGUGCUUUCGGGAUCUCACAUGGCCAAUACUAAAGACUGGCAUCCAUCCAACAUAGUCAUGGUGACUCCUCUGAAAUCGUGCGAAAGCUCCCACUGAUGCUCUAUGAUAACCGUCAAUGUCCUCUGAUAAUCACCUCACUCCAUCAUCAUAAGCCACUCACCAUCGUCUCAUAAAAUCACCAUCUCUAAUCAUCCCGACUCUCUGAAGUCAUGUGCAAUGACUCAAAUCUAGAUGCUCCAUGAUAACCCCUCUAUCUCAACAACAUCGCCAAACAGUCAAACCACUCUCUCAUCAUGAUCCAUCUAUCAUCAUAUAAAGCUCACCUCGGGUCUAACCAUCUCGGACUCUACCUAGUCAGAUCAAGGAAAUGAUGGAAAGGAAAGGCAAUGGUGCUGCAGCAUGAUAAGGCGAAAAAGGGUAGUAAAGUCGUGUAAUGGUACCAAGGGGUGGUGUCAUGUCAGGCUCAAAAUGGGUAGGUCGACAAGUCCACAGAGUCAAAGUACGAAUAUGGAUAUGGUACUCACUCUAAUCAAAAGGAGAAAUGGAUCACCGUCUCAAACUCCCUAGGUCGAUCUCCUGAUCCUAGGUCAAUAAGCUCAAUAUCCUCCAUGAUAGGUCAAGCCUGAGCAAUCAUGAUGUAUAAGUGAAAACAUGUCUCAUAUCGAAAGCACAAACGCACAUCAACGCAAGAUAUGUAAAGCAUACUCACGAGAAAAAUGCCACAAUACUCAGAUAAAAUAUCAUAUUACUAAAUGAAUCAACGAGUACAUCAUGUGUGAAAUGAUAAAGGACUACAAACAACUGGACUCUCAACAUGAAACUAAAAACAAUGACCCUAAACUGAAAACAGGACUCAACAAAACAAAAACAACUCUGAAGAACUGAAAACUAGACUUAACAAAAUGGAAAUGAGUCUGAUGAUGACCAUAAUCAAAAUGAGAAAUGCUUUGAACUGAACUGCUACCAAGUGAUGUACCCAUGCUGACUGACCCAAGUCCUCAUCCUAGAGGGUCCCAGAACACCAUAUGCCAUCAGUACCCUCAAUAUCCAAAACAAUCUACUGAAGACUAGGAGGAGGAGGAACUGCAUGUGUGGAAUGAGCAGGCAGAGGAUUGGUGGUCACAUUUGGCCCAGCCAAGUCGACCAACCCUGAAUCGAUCAAGUCCUGUAUCGCAUGAUGGAGUGUUGAACAAUGCUCAGUAUCGUGCCCCAGAAUUUGAUGAUACAAAUAGUGCUCAUGCAAACGGAAAUGAGGAGGAAUAGGAUGGGGCAAAGGCCUCGGCGCCAAAGGAACAAUCACUCCAGCGUCUCUGAGUUUCUUAAAAGCUCUAGUCAAAGUCAUGCCCAAGGGAGUGAACUGUCUCACGGGCCUCUGUGCAUAUGGUCUAGGUGGUGGGUGAGUAGUGGCUCUCGGAUGCGAAGGUCGUGGCUGCAUGCUAGUCUGAGCAAUGUAAGGCUCCUGAACAUAAUCCGGCUGAUACUGAUACCGCGGAUGAAGGAAAUGAGCUCUGACUACAGGAGGCCUAUAAAGUGAGUGAUGCGCAGGUCUCCGAUGCUGAUAACUAAUAGCGCCAACCUCUUCAGAUCUGGUGAAUGGUCCAAUCAGCUUCUUCCCCUUACUGUCAGGGGAAGGAGUAGUAUCUGUCCAUAAUCCUCGAGCCAUAGCCUCUUCUACACUGAAAGCGGCAUGAACCAGACUCUUGAGGUCCUGAAAUGGGACGCCCACAAGACGUCUCGCGAACCUCGGCUGUAGGUUCCAAAGAACCAUAUCAAUCUGAUCCUGCUCCUUAGGAUGGUCUAUCAUACCAGCCACCUUUGCCCUCCAACGAGUGACAAAGGAAGAAAUAGACUCAUUUGGCCUUUGCCUGGUGGCCUCCAACUCUCGUCUAGAUACGUCAAUAUCAGCACUGAACGUGAACUGGGUCAGGAACUCACGAGCCACAUCCUCCCAGGUGCGGAGUCUCGAAGGCUCAACUGAAGCAAACCAUCUCUGAGCUGCCCCACUGAGUGACAUCAGGAAGAGGGCCACCAAUUGCGCAUCAUCUAUACCAUGUGCCCUCAUGACUAUGCUGUAUAGUCUCAAGUGGAUCUUGGGACAACCAAUCCCACUGUAACGCUCGAUGUCUGGCAUGCGAAACUUGGGGGGCAAGCUAGCCGCCGGUAUGCCAUCUCUAUCAUCCCAAGUCAAACCUCCAUCCUGCAAUCUGAUCUGUCUCAUCAUGGACUCAAGCCUCUCAACCUUGGCCUCCUGCUUGGCUAAUCGAGUAUCCUCGAUAGUAGGAACCAUAGGAGGCGACACUGUGAUAGUAGGUGGUGGAAUGGUCUCAUAAUGAUCUGCCAGAUGGAAUGGAGCACCAAGUGAAACCCCAGGUGGACGAGUCUGCGCUGUCUGAGAUGCAUGAGGAAUCGUCUCGUCAGUGACCAUGCCAGCCGGAUGAGGAUCCUGGCGAGAACUCUCUAUCUGAUCCAAGCGCCUACUGACUCCGGCCAUGAACUCCUGAAUGGAAGCAAGUGUGGAAGCUAGCUCGUCUGACAUCUCAACUGAACUGUCUGAACUCGGAUAUGAAUCUGCUCUGAUCAAUCGUCCUCCAACUCUCCUCCAAGAAUGUGACUCCAGACUCAAUCGACUCCUAAACUGACUCCCUACAAUGCAAACAAAACGGAUGAAGGACACGAGAUAAAACUCUAAAAGACGACAAUACAACAUGCAAGCACAUGGUCCUGAGAUGGCAAUCCGAAAUCUGGAUGUUUGACGAAAACUCUAGAGUCACAAAGGUAUCCACUGCUAGAUGGCUACAAAUGUGACCAGAGAAUCUCCAUCAAUAAUCCGAGAUAAAAGAGGUGUGAAAAACAUACUAUCACGAGAUCAGUACUCCAUCUAUAAACAAAUAUACUUGAAUCAAACUUCCACUCGAGCUCCAUAAGAGAAAAAAUGAUAAGGUGAUCAAGGCCACUCUCUCGAAAAAAGUGUGAAUGUAAAAAUGUGUCUUUCACCUUUCUGUAAUGAAAAUAUGAGCAUCGAGUUGAAAAUUGAAUCAAGUAUCAAACAAAUGAUGAGGUACUGAGCCCGUGAUAAGCAUACAGUGUAAAAAAAUUAUCAAUGAACAUAUCCCAAAGCAUCGAGUGAGUGAUAACAAAGUGAAGGGGUGUGUCAAGCCAAGAAAUGAGAACGAAAACCCUAGGGAGAAAACAUGCUAAACUCGUAAAGUAAAAAGCAUAAUCUAGAGCGACGAGACGAAAGGUGAUCCAACCGAUACUCAAACUCAUACCGAUCUCCGAGCACUCUCAACUAGAGACUAAAAAGAGGGAAUACUGGAUCCGAACUGUAACUAAAGAGGCUCUGAAGGCCCUCAGAUGCACCCACGUGUAGGGACAGAGUCCUAAUCGAAGGAUCUACGGCUCAACCUACAAGGUCAAGGUGGCUCUAAAUGGAUAUGGGUGGACUUUAAAAUAUCCCUAACAGAAGCGAUCAUACCCUCCAGCGGUACGCAACCCUCUGCACGCCUCAAAAAAGACGGGGCGCUUCCAUGCAAGGUGGACAUCGCAUCCACACAUGCACCACCUCGACAUCCCAGGGGGUUUCCUAUGGUGAAACCUCUCAAACUCUCAACGCUCAAUAGUCAACUAGAGUGCACAGUGAUGGUGUGGGUGCAUCCGAAAAUCCUAGGAAGCUAAAACGAGAAAGGAAACACACUGGCCACACAAAUAUCCAUAAAACCUAGCUCCGGGCUAUACAGGUCUUCAAUGAUCGGACUCCAAUUAGCAUCGAUUUGUCGGUCUCCUCCAAAACGCUCCCAGACAUCGUUAUAACCCAUCGCUAGACCCUACUCCUAAUCACUAGCUCGGUCGGAGAGCAAACAAAGCAACAAGUCUCAUAUCAAAUACGAGACCUCAGAAAACAAAGUCGACCGAGACUAGGGACUUGGAAAUAAGGGGAUAAGUGUGUGUCCCACAUAUACACGCAACUCAUGCAGUCACAUCAGGAUGAGAGGAGUCAUGCAACAGACAAUCAUGCAAAACAGGUAUAAAUCAUCCAAACCUACACACAAGCUAAUCGAGAAGAAUAUCUGGCAAAUGAUAGUAUGCUCCAUGAUAACCAAGAUAAUAUAUAAUCGAGAGAAUCAAUCAUGUCAAAUCAAAUGAUAUAUAAUGGCGAGUCUAUACAUGUGAGGUGAUCAGAACAAACAUGGCAAAAUCAGGGUCGCUAUGCUAAGCAAGGCAAGAUAAUCGAUCAAUAUAAUCAGCAUAUCAAUGUCUCAAACAAAUAUAGCAAUGAAUCACGGGGAAAAAAUCACCACAAUCAAAAUCCUCAAUCAAGACAAACCAUCAUAAUCAAUCAUGUCAAUGCCCCAAGUAAAAACAAACACCCAAGCAUGCAUCCAAUACUAUCGGGAACUCUCAAUGUGCAAUCAAGAAAUAGGUACCCAUUGAUCGACUCAUCAAACGCCACAUUUGCUUCAUCUUAAGUUCAAGUUUGACCCUCUAAUGAUCCCCAGUGGAGUUGUCAUUUUGUGGACCCCGCAUUUCAGCUCAAUGCGUUUCCCACUCGAUGGCGAGCUCGAUUUUUAUUUGAAAAAUUAUGAUUUUUAUUUAUUAAAAAAAAUGACUUGGAGUCGCCACUUAUUUUUGUUUUAUUUUUAAAGGGUAAACAAAAUAAGAAAGAAAAACCCUAAGUGUGACUCCUUAUUUUGGAAAAGGUGGUCUGUGAAAAACCGGAUCGGGUUCGGGGGUCAGGUUACUUAUCGGGAAGGUACGGUAAAGACCGUAGCACCCUUCUAUGUCCCUAAAGUCAGGUCUCUACUGAUAGGAUGAAGCUGACGUGGCAGUCAAUAAGAAAAUCAAUAAACACUCAAAUCGAUCAUGCACAAUAUGAGAAGCAAAGCAUGUAUAAAGAAUGAGCAAAAUAUGAAUAGAUGCGUACCUGGACGGCAAUCACGAACGCGCUAUCAUGAAACAUGGUUAGUGAACAAUGAACAGAUAUAAUUAAGCGCAUAUAAAGGAAUAGAGUAAAUCAAUCAUGCAUGACAAAUAAAUCAAUCAAUCAAUCGAUUAGUCAUGAAAUCAAGUAUGUAGGGCCCCCACCAAGGCCCGUUUAUUUUAGCAUGAAUUAAUUUCGUAAAUUCCAUUAAUUGGAAUUACAAAAUUUAAUCCUUACUUAUUUUAAAACAUUUUAAAAAUCAAAGAAAGUUCGAAAAUGGCUUGCCGGAAAGAAAAAUGGCGGCCAAAUUUUAUUGAAAAUGGGAUUUUGGUACCUAAAACUCUAAAGAUGAGAGAUUUGAUGAUUUGAAUUCGUUUAAAAAAAAAACAGAAGUUGGAAAAACAUUUGAAGACGAGAUUUAGGAAACUAUUUUUGAAAUCAAAGGAAAACAAUUUUGAGAGCGUGGCACGUGAUUCAAAAAAAUGGCCAUGCAAAAGGUAGCCUUAUAGUGAGAAUGGGUGCUUGAAUAGUCUCUUGAUUAGGCAAUGGCAUUGUGAGGCUCUACUUAUCUUUGGGAUCCCACGACUAUCACCAUUCUAACAGCCUUCAUGCUUGGGGUAAAGGGUAUUGUAGCGGCUCUACAAACUCCUUUGUCGUGGCAGAUAUCAAUGAAGUUAACCUCGAUGGCCUGAUUCUUCACACAGAUCUCACCCUCAUUUGAUUCUCUUAUUUCGGCAUCUUCCCACGUCAGGAUCUCAAGACCAUCAAGUUCAUGAACCUUGAAGGCUCUUACCAUGAUUGCAGCUGCUGACUUUGGGCAUGAGCCUGGGAAAAGCGCAUCUGAGGAUUGGGAUGUGGGUAUGGAGGAUUGGCUUAUGAGGGCCUGGUGAAUGAGAGUGCGAGUGAUGGAUGAAGGAAAUGGGUUCAUAGGGCGAUGGAAGAAAUGAGUUUGGUGACUGAAUAGAAGAUAGAGAUGGGAGGUGGGGUGACGGGCAGGACGAUAGGUUAGAUGGAGGGAGGUUUGGUGAAUGAAAAUCAAUCGGGAAGUAUGGAGAGUGAGUAUCAGGAUAGAUUCAGCAAGCAUGAAUAUAGUGGAGAGAGAAGAGGUAGGGACGGGUUAGGUAGUAGACGAGUGGUGAUGUGGUCAGGUCUGCAUGGUAGAUGGAGAAGAAAAACGUAAAAGGGUUGAUGGGAAUGAGUAUAGAAAUGAUGGCACGACUUGCAUGUGAAAGUGAGAAAAAGGCUAUGGGUAGGUAUAAGACGUAAAAGAUAGGUGCGAAAUGAUCAACAAGAAACCUGCACCAUUCGGCAUUGCAACAUCCUUAUUCCUAUGCCCAUUUGGAUGUUUGCUCCUUUGCAUGAACAACUCGUUUGAAACCUCCAUAAGAGCAAUUGAGAGACAGAGAUUGCUUUACCUUACCAUCAUCAAAUCUAUGAUCCUCACCACCCUCUGAAAACCCUCCUCAUCCCACUAUUCAUUUUUACCUGGAUGUCCUGCCACACUAAAACAUGCUUCCCAUGUUUGGGAAAAACAUGCUGUGUAUGUUUCCCAUCUCAGAGAACGUUUCAUGGAUACUACCACAGAACGUGACAAAAGGAUCCAUGCGAGGCACUCACUGGUGUGUCAUGCUUCCAUGAUGGUUCACUAGUAUCUAAGUAUGCUGGUCAGUGGCGAUGACAACCCAUGAGAAUGCCGGUUUAGGACCAUACAACUCAAUUUGAUCUUUCCCUGUGCUUUAGUCUUAGUUGUCAACAAGCUAACUUACGACAUCUUCCUUGCUAUCUCGGAUGCAUAGACGGGAAAUAAGAGGAAUUGUCAGACCAACUCCAAAUCCACCCAAUAACCUUGCCAAAUAUAGAACAUAAACAUCGAGAGACCAUAAUCUUUCAAGGCCACUAAGGGAAUAAAGAACAGAUAAGAAUUGUCAACAUUGGAUGUCGUCCGAGCCAAUUUGCUAUACGUCCAGAGGAAAGUUAUGGCAGCAGUGACUCCAAUCAAGGACAUGCCUGUAAUCAAUCCUUCUACAGUUGGUUCCAUUUGUGAAUAAACCUUUUUUUUUUUAUGUAAAGAAGAGCCCCUGCAAUAGUUCUUUAACUGGCACUACCAUCAACACAUAGUCAAAUGAUCAAACCUCAAGAUGUAUAACAGCACCAAACCAAAUAUUUCAACCCAGAAUCCUCACCCACCGAGGACAUAUUCUUUGUAAUCCCUUGUUCCCAUAGGCGAAGAUGAGAGAAAUAAUGUGCCCUAGGAGCAAGUACCAGAGGCAGGGGAAGGUGGGGAAACAGAGCACAAACUAGGAUGAAUAAAUAAAGAGAACCUCAGAAGAUUCACUUCAUGAAUUGUCAAUGAACCUUCCGAGCAGGUGGGAAAAUCACAUCAAAUGCUAUUACAGACAUGAUUCUUGGACAUUUCAUAACCACAAUAGGAUCUGAGCAAGUUAAAAAUGGACAAAUCCACACAAAAGCAGAGAUAUAAUGCAACAAACAAGUUGGUGGCCUUCAAUAUCCACCCCAAUCAACAUAAUGCUAAAGAAAUCACUAGCAAGCUGAGGAAUAAUAGUAAAAAAAAAAUGAGAGGUAAGAGGAAUGUCAUGUCCAUACCUGGGUUCUUCAAACAAAGAAAAACCAAUCUUCAGCUCUUUUCGAUGAAUCUCUUUCCUUCUCUGCCACAACGUACCUCCUAAGAAAAUUCAAAACCUCUGGUUUUCUCCUCCCUUACUCUCUCAUACGCUCCUUUGCUUAAAACCUCCUCUUCCUUAGCAGCCUGCUCACUGCAAAAUCAGCACCCUCUCUCCAGAAACAUGCUCCCUUUUUCUUAGCUUCUCUCCCUCAACUCUCAAGCUCUCCUAUCCUCCUCUAAACUCCUCUCAGCAGCACCUCCCUUAUAUAUAAAAAAAAACUCUCUCUCUCUAAAAUAUUUCUAACGGCCGAGCCUCUGUCCCCACUACCCUGCAGCUGCCAGCUUCCACUCCCCCCUCAUGCAGCUGGCAACCUUCCCAUAAUAGAAGAUACGCUCCCCUGAUUCCAGAAUGUUCUUCACUUUCCAGGUGCCUUCCUUUGAUUGGUCCAUCAAUUCCACUAUUUUGAUCCCAUAUUGACUAAUCCGGGAGUGACACGUGGUCAUGCAAGAUGGUGACACUUGGCCACAGCUAGCUGCAAGAAAGAAAAUGUGAGAAGAAUGACAGCUCCCCAAAAUGGGGGUCUACACUUAUAUUUUUGUAUUAUUAAAUAUUUUUCUUGUUUUUAUUAUGAAAAACAACAAACUAUUUUAAAAAAUAAUUACCAAACAAACCCUAAAAUUCUCAAAUUACAACAAAACUUUGUACAAAAUACAGCAAAUGGUGGUUCAAGCAUGCCUCAAACCCAAACCCUGAGUACCCGACCCAACCUAUUCAUAUACCCACUCCAAACUAAAAAUUCCUCCCACCGAAGUAAUUAAAGUCAUGUUUCUCCACUUAUAAUAAUAAUAAUCAUCAUCAAAGAGGGCCAUGAGUUUGAAAAUAAUAAAAAUGAUGGCGGAGAACAUAUAUUAUAUUCUAUAAAAGUCCAAGAUAGGUAAUAAAAAUUAAAUAAUGGACCAACUCAUAAGUUAUGUUUGAUUAAUGAAAUAGAAUAUGAUAAGGUACGUAUAUUUUAAAAUAUCAUAUCUCAUUGAAUAUCCUAAGAUAUACAUGGGAUUAUGAAAUAAUUUAUUGGUUUUUGUUCGACUAGUUGAAUUGGUGAACAAAGGCCAUAGUCAAUACAAACAUUAAGACCUGAUUAAAUUAAAAUACAAUGAAUUAAAAUAAAAUGAAAAUGCACCUCUUACACAUCACAUGGAAGGCACAUGGCAUGUGGAAUAAUGCCUUUUCAUUCUUUCAUCUCAAUUUCAUCACUAGAGUUCAUGUUUGGUACAAGAAAUGAGAAGUGAGCAUUUUCUCAUUUAUUUUUAUGUUAGAAUAAUUUAAAAUAAUAGAAUAAAAAUUUAUUACAAUAAGAAUGAAAUCUUACUGAUAAAUGAGAUUUUAAUUGAUCUCUAACACAGAGUAUUAAAAUAACAUGGUGAUAUAAGAUAUGUUAACAUUAUUAUUUUACCCUUUUAUUUUCAUUAAACUUGUAUGACUUUCUAUGAUUUUAACCUAAUUUUCCUAGGUACGUCCUACUACAAGAAUUGAAAUCACUAAAUUUAUAUUAAAAAAUAAGGUGACCUAAGGGUUUUAAUUUUAUCACCCAUAUGGAGGCUCCUUGAAAUAGGGAUGACAAUGAAGUGGGUUUGGGAUGGACCGCCCCAUCUGGACCUGUCCUUUUUAUUUAAAAUAAUUUUAAUCCUUAUCCUAAUAAAAUAAAAUAAAAAAUUAAAUAGAACGGGAUGAGAUAGGAUAGGUAUGAGAUUUUUCAUACUUCCUUGCUUUUUCCCAUUUACUAUUAUUUUAAAAAAAAUUAAAACUUAAAAAAAAAAAUUAAUUACGUUAAAAUAAAUAUAUUUUAUAAAUAGUUAUAAUAUUAUAAUUUUUAUAACUUAUUUUAUUGAAAAAUAAUUUUAAUAAUUUUAUAUGUGUUAAAAAUGGGGAAAAAUUAAACUAAAUCCUUUUUUAAAAUUAAUUAUAUAUUUACAAUGAGGCAAGAUAAGAUAAUUCCUUCAACCUUUCAAAUAUUUCAAAAAAUAAAUAAAUAAAUAAAUCUCAAACCUACCCCAAACUAUUUAUUUUAAUUCUAAAGUCAUCCCAUCAAGGGUGGGUACCCAAAAAAAAAAAGGGAGAAUUGGGCUUUAGACCCAUUUGACUUUGAUAAUUAAUAAAGAGUCCUUCAAACACCCAUAAUUGAUUUCAAGGAUAUGAGAUGGGAAUAGACAAAAAUACCCACUUGACUUAUUUUUGUCUUUAUUCUACCACCAUUCACAUGACACUAUUAUUUCUUAUUUAACCUUUUUUGGAUUUUUCAUUAUUUUUUUAAACUCUUUUAUAAAUAAUUGAAAAAUCAAAAUUAUUUUUUUAUUUUUAAAUUAUAAAUAAGCAAAAAUUAUAUUAAUGAUUCAAAGACUAUUUUGGAAAAUACUUUCUAAAAAAAUAUUAAUUUAAAUAAAUAAAAAUUACAUUUUACAUUUAUUUUUAUCUUUUAUAUUUUAGAAGUAAAUAAUUUAAUGAUUAAAAUACCAUUUAAAAUAAAUAUAUUCACUAUUUUAAUUUUUUUUAUAUUAAAAAGUAUUUUAAAGUUUUUUUUACUAUUAUAAAAUAUAAUGUUUAUUUUUUUUAAUCUUCUUUCUUCCUUAUUUUAAUAACUUUUUGAAUAUGAUUUUUAGCAAUAAGUUAUAUGAAAUGUUACAAAUUUGUUUAUUAAGGAUUUAUUUUAAUGAUUUGAAUUAAUUGAAAACUUAUUAAAAUAAGAAAAAGAAAAAGAAAGAAAGAGAAUGGAUGAAAAGUUUUUAUUUUAAGUACUCAAUUAAAAUGUUUUCAUAUGACCGAACUUUAGAAGUGGAUUAUAUCAAUACAUAGUAGAGAUUGAAUUUUUCUUAUAUAAAAGGGUUGAAAGGUAUAUUUACUUAUUUUAGAUGAAAACAAGUAGUUAAAAAUUAUGUAGAUUAUAUUUGAGUUUGGUUUUAAAAUAUUUUUCUAGUUUUUAUUUUUUAUUUUUAAAAAUAAUUUUUAUUUUCUAUAUUGUCUCUUUUUGAAAAUAUUUUUAAUUAAAAAAUGAAAACUAUUUUUUAAAAUGAAAUUGAAAACCUUGUUUAGUACUAUUUUUUUAUAUGAAAAUAAAAAAUAAUAAAUUUUAUUUAUUUAUUUAUUGCGUCACUGUACAAUUGUAUUACAUUAACUGUAUAAGGGAAAUGUACUAAGUGUACAAGGCUACCCUUUGUGAAAUAUUAUAAUCAAUUAUGAGUCAUUUCUUUUUUUUUUUUAUCACUUAUGAAUUGUACAUAUAUGUCAUGCACUUUAUUUAAUUUCCGCAUGGAAAUUCCAAUAUUUUUCCUAAUAACAAUAUUUGGAGAAAAAAAAAUUUUAACCUUAAAUCAUCUACCAUUUUCUCAACUAAAUCAUUGAAAAUAUAGUUAAACACUCCUACGUGGACACAUAACUUAGGAGAGAUAUAAAAUUUGUGUCAUUGUACAAGGGUAUUACACUAAGUGUACAAGGAAAAUGUACUAAUUGUACAAAGGUGUACAAGAUUACCCUUUGUAAAUGAUUUUAAUUGAUUCUAAACUACUUUUUUAUUUUCCUUGUCACCCAAUGAUUGUACACCUAUGUCAUGCCCUUUAUUUAACUCUUACAUGAAAAUUCUAAUAUUUUUCCCAAUAAUGAUAUUUGGGGAAAAAAAUUAACCCUAAGUCAUCCACUAUUUUCUUAACCAAACCAUUGAAAAUAUGAUUAAUACACCUACAUGGAUAUAUAAAUUAGGAGAUAUAUGAAAUUUGUGUCAUUGUACAAGGGUAUUACACUAACUGUACAAGGGAAAUGUGCUAAGUGUACAAGGGUGUAUAAGGUUUCUAAUAGGUUUUAUACGAUUUUUAAAUAACUUGAAUUUGACAUUAAGACGAUUAUUGAUAGUUUUGUUUUUCUUUUUUUACCAAACUAUGUCAUUAAAUAUUCUUUACAAAAAUUAACACAUAGGAAAUAAAAUUAAAAUCAAUCAUGUUUGAAUUGCUCAUUAUAAGUAAACUAAAUGAAAUAUAUAUUUUUACUAUUUUGCCUUUGUAAAUAUAAUUUCAUUGUUAUCAAUAGAGAUUAAAAAAAUCAUUUUUAAAUGGCAUUAAAAAUAAAAAAAAUAUUUUUAUAACAUUUUUAUUUUUUAAAAUCAUUAAUUUAAAUUAUGAAAUUAGUUUUAAAGUUAAAAAUAUUUGUUGUAAUUAUAGUUUUGAAGAUUUCAUGAUUUUUAUCUUAUUACUUUGAAAAAAUUGCUUUAAUAAGAAAGUAUUUAUUUUAAUGGUUUUAAAUAUUUAAAUCUUUAUUCAAAAAUAUUUAGGAUUAGUGUGGAGAGCAAUUAGGUAAUUUUGGAAUGGAGAAAUUUUGAAUAUUUUUGAAGACUUUGAUUCGACUAAUUACCCUAUUUACAUUUUCAAAAUUAUUGAAAGGUUGGUAAAUUAGUCUUAUAAAUAUUGUCUUCUUGAUUAAUAUUAUAUAUAUAUAUAUAUAUAUGCAUGUGAGUAUUUACAUUAUAUUCAAAAAAAUAAUAAACACCAUGUGCCUAAUUUGCAAGUUAGAAAAAAAAAAUUAAUAAUAUUUUAUGAGGUAUUUAAAAAGUAUUUAUUAUAUGUUCUACAAAUUUGAAAAAAUAUAAUAUUUGAUGAUAUCUAAUUUACAAGUUAGAGUAAACAAAUAAUACUAAUAUUUUAGGAGUUGUUUAAAAAUUAUUUAAUAUAUAUGAGAAAUAAUAUAGGUUUGAAAUAAAGAAUGAUAUUUAUUAUAUAUUAUGUAAGUUUGAAAAAAAGACUAAUAUUUGAUAAGGUUUUUAAAAGUUAUUCACUUCAAAAAUAUAUUUGGUAAUAAUAAUUUUUAACCAUCUUUCAUAUUUGAUAAAGAAAAAUGAUUCAAGUUGAUUCCACUAUUAAAUAGGUGAGAGAAGGGUAAAAGAGUCAAAGAAAGAAUGAGAAAGGUGAGAUGAUUGGUUAGUUUUUUCAUUUAAUAGUCAAGGGUAUUUUAGGGAUUUUUUAAAGAUAAUAUCCUUACUCUCAAUUUCUACUCUUUCAUUGGAUGUUGGGCUUAAAUAUGAAACUUAUAUGGACCAUACAUUAAUUUUUGGGCCCUGGGCCCAAAACACAAUUUUCCCAAAAAAAAAACUGACCGCAUUGACCAUCAUAUCCUAAAAUCUUAUGUGGCAAAAUAUAAGAGGAUGAUAUGUUAACGUACAUGAGAACUUUUAUUGGAAAUAAAAUUGAAAUUUGAGGGAAAACUAGUCUAUUUUUUUUCUUUGUAUAGACUAUGAAAAGAUUUUUUUUUUAAUUUUUAAUAAAUAAAAUAAAAUCUCACAAAAAUACUGAAAAAAAUUGUUAUGUAUUUGGUUCCCUGUAAAAACCAACAACCAGAGAGGAAUAAUUGUUUUAAAUUAAACUUUCUUCAAAAACAACAAAUUCAAAGAGAAACAUAAUUUUUUCGCACCUCAAUUUCACAUAAUCAUUAUAAUUUUAAUCCCAAAAUUAUUUUUAAUUUUAUCAUUCUAAAAAGUUGGCAAAUCAUAUUUGCAAAUCUUAUUAUUAAUGAUAUUAAAUACAUUUGUGUGGACCCUGCAUUUCGGCUCAUGCGUUUCCCACUCAAUGGCGAGCUCGAUUUUAAUUUGAAAAAUGAUUUUUAUUGAUUAAGAAAAAUGACUUGGAGUCGCCACUUAUUUUUGUUUUAUUUUUCAAAGGGGUAAACAAAAUAAGAAAGAAAACCCUAAGUGCGACUCCUUAUUUUGGAAAAGGUGAUCUACGAAAAAUCGGAUCGGGUUCGGGGGUUAGGUUACUUAUCGAGAAGGUACGGUACAGACCGUAGCACCCCUUUAAGUCCCUAAAGUCGGGUCUCUACUAAUAAAAUAAAGCUAACGUGGCAAUUAAUGAGUAAAUCAAUGAAUAUCUUGAAUGAUCAUGCUCAUGUGAAAAUCAAAACACUCAAUAAGAACGAUCGAAGUGGGAGCAGAGCAUACCUUGGCAUCAAACAAUCAAUGCGCUAUAAAAAAAAAGGGGGUUAGCGCACAAUUAAGAAAUGCAUGUCAUAGAGCAGAAUAAAUCAAUCAUGUACGACCAUCGAAUCGACUAAUUAAUCAAUCAAUCAUAAAAUCGUGUAUGUGGGGCCCCCACCAAAGCCCGAUUUAUAUUGCAUGAAUUAAUCCCAUAAAUUCCAUUAUUCGGAAUUACGGAAAAUUCGUUCUUGCCUAUUAAAGUCCAGAGGAGCAGAAGAUUGUUUGAAAGCCAGAGCGGAAUUAAAACUAUUCGGGAGAAAAUUAGAUUUUUGAAAUUUAAUUGAAAAAUUGGAAUCUCGAAGAUCACUAGAAAAUUGGAGUUUUAGAGUUUAUUCGGAGAUUAGGCUUUUAGAGAUUGAAUGUGAGAAUGAGAAUUUUUAGAAACUGAAUUUGAAAGAGAUUGGAAUUUUGAAAACGAUUUGAGGGUUCGAGAUUUUAAAGAAAGAUUAAGUUGCGAAAAUUGAGACUUUGGGAGUUGAAUUUUGAAAGAGAUCAGAAUCGUAAGUUAUUUGAGAAGUAGAAAUUAUGUGGGAGCAGAGCAUACCUUGGCAUCAAACAAUCAAUGCGCUAUAAAAAAAAAGGGGGUUAGCGCACAAUUAAGAAAUGCAUGUCAUAGAGCAGAAUAAAUCAAUCAUGUACGACCAUCGAAUCGACUAAUUAAUCAAUCAAUCAUAAAAUCGUGUAUGUGGGGCCCCCACCAAAGCCCGAUUUAUAUUGCAUGAAUUAAUCCCAUAAAUUCCAUUAUUCGGAAUUACGGAAAAUUCGUUCUUGCCUAUUAAAGUCCAGAGGAGCUUAUAUUUGGGAAUAUUCGAAUAUAAUUUGUUUAUGAGAUAUCAGCAGAGUGAAAACAAAUUCACAGAAUUGGGUAAACUUCUGUAGUCGGAUUCAAGCACUAGUCAUGAACUAAAUACUAUAUUUGAUUACUAAUUGAUAUUUUAUUUUGCUAGCUACAAGUGGGUGGAACUGAUGAGUAUGGCAUAUGUUUAGCACGGAUGUGAUCAUAUAUGGAAAACAUGAUAUUUCCUUGGGGACCAAAAUACAACUUCGCAUUUAAUUGCUGACAAGCAUUUUGCAUCAAAAUAUUUAUUGUUGUUGCAAUUGCAACAGACUACAUAAACACUAUAUUUGGUUCUAGAAGAUUUGAAGGGGGGUGAAUACUGAGAAAGAGUAUAAAGAAAAAAAUGGUAAUAAAAAUAAUGAUGAUAACAAAUGAGUAACUGGGUAAAUACAGUAAUUGGAACAUUAGGAAUUGAAAAUUAAGUUCGGAGAUAGGACACUUGAAAUUUUAGAUAGUUAAAUUUAGAAGUAGGAAUUUUGAAGAAUUGGACUUUAAUGAUUGAGAUUUUUAAGAGAAAUAAAUGGGUAAAUAUGGAAUAAUAUUAUUAAUUAAUCAAAACGAUAUGGGAACAGAUGAAUAGUGAAUAGUGGGGUUUGUGAGAUUAAAAUUUAAAUUGGAGAAUCGGAUUUUGAUGAAAGUGAUAUUUGAACGGAUGAAAAUGAAUAGUGGGAUUUUGAAAAUUAAGUUUGAAAGUCGGAUCUUUAAAUAAUUGGACUCUAAUUAUUGGAAUUUUUAGAAGAAAGAAAUAAGUAAACGUGGAAUUUAUAAUAAUGAUAACAAAGAUGAUAUUUGAGUGAAUAAAAGUGAAGGGUGGAAUUUUUGAGUCUCAAGGUUAAAUUUGGAAAUCCGGUUUUGAAGAAUUGAAUUUUAAUGAUUGAAAUAAAUAAAUAAACAGAUAUGGAAUAAUGAUAUUUAUUAACAAAAAUAAUGUUUGAACGAAUAAAAUAGUGAAAUUUUUCUAAUUGAAAAUUUGAAUUAGGGCGUUGGAUUUAUAAAGGAUUAGGCUUUGAAUAAAUAGGUAGGUAUGAGAUUAUAAUACUAAUUAACGAGAAUAAUAUUUAGGCGAAUAAAGGUGGGUGGUAGAAUUUUUGGGAUUGAAGUUUUAAUUCAGAAAUUGGAUUUUUGAAGAAUUGGAUCCUAUAUAAAUAAAUAGAUGCAGAACAAGAAUCCUAAUUAACAAGAAUAGAAUUUAGACGAAUAAUGGCAUUUCUGGGAUCGAAAGUUGAAUUAAGACAGGGGGGUUUUCGAAAGACUGGACUUUGAAUAGAUAUGGAAUAAUGAUUCUAAUGAGUAAGGAUAAAAUUUAGAUGAAUUGCAGAAUUUUUAGGAUUGAAAAAUUAAAUUAAGACAUUAGAUUUUUGAAGAACUAGUUUUUAAAUAAAUAGACACAUAUGAGAUAAUAACCCUAAUUGAUGAAAACAAGAUUUAAACGAAUCACUGAAAAACUAAAUUAAGAUAGGGGAUUUUUGAAGGAUUGGACUUUGAAUAACUAAAUAAACAUGGGAUAAUAAUUCGAUUUAUGAAAAUAUGAUUUAAACAAGAAUUUGAAGAAUUAAAUUAAAAACAUGGGAUUUUUGAAGGGUUAGGCUAGAUAAUAAAUGAAUGUAUAAGAUAAUAAUUCCCAUUAAUGGACAUAAGAUUUAAACGAGUAUUUGAAGAAUUAAAUUACGGCAUGGGAUUUUCUUAAUAGAUUAGACUUCGAACAACUAAUAAUACGAGAUGAUGAUUCGAUUUAUGAGAUUAAGAUUUAAACAAGUACUUAAAGAAUUAAAUUAAAGCGUGAGAAUUUUGAAGGAUUGGCAUAGAUAGAUAGGAGAAUAUCGAAUAGUAAUCCUAGUUGAUAAAUAUGAGAUUUAAAAGAGUAUUUGAAGAAUUAAAUAAAGACAUGUGAUGAUUUUUUUGGAUAGCUUGGACUUUAGAUAAAUAAUGAAUAAGGGAUAAUAAUUUGAUUUAUAAAAAUAUGAUUUAAACAAGUAUUUUGAAGUAUUAAAUUAAACUUAGGAUUUUUUUGAAGGAUGGGGAUGGAGCCUAUCAUCCACACCAACUGGGCCUGGGCUUCAAGUUCAAACCCAAGCCCAAAACGAUCAUGGGCAAAAUAGCCCUUCUCUUCACCGUUUGCCUCUCCACCUGCGAAGACUCCACCGGCGGCACGAUGAAGAGGGGAGCCAUGGCAGCGCUGGGAAAAGAGGAGCAGCGGCGGCGCGGGGAAGAGGGGAGCUGCGGCGGCGGUCUGGCGAUGUCCAGAAGGUGCUGCUGCCAUUGGUUGCUGGUGCAGAUGCGCGCAUAACCGGAGCGGGCGAUGGCGACUGGUGGCGUGAUGAGUGGAUGGCUGCAGGUUCGAGGAGCGUGGAGAGUGACGACGCCAUGCGUGCAUGGAAGGUCGUGAAGCUCUCCAGGCCUCUGACUAACGAGCCUCUGAUGAAGACGGUAGGAGCGAUGGCGGGUAUGAGGAGGAAGAGGGUGAAGGCAACCUGCAUGUUUGGACCCAUGAGUGCGGAAGGGCGGCUUGGGGAGUCCUUGUGGAGAUGGGUAUGGAAAAGGUAGCCAUAUUUGCAUGGCUCCCAUGCACCUGAAGCAAAAGGGACAUGCCUAUGCGCGGAGAAAAGGAGUUCCUACUUCUUGGAGCUCAUACAACUAAUGGGAUCCAGGAGCAAAGAUGGCCAUAACAAACGAGAAACUCAUGCAAACCAAGCAACAUGCAUACAUUGGCAAGAUUUAUGGAGGAAAUAUAAGCAGCCAAAUCAAUCAACAAGCCUAUAAUAUUCAUACCUGUGUAAGUAUCUCUCCAGCAAAGCCAUACAAGACUCUAGGUUUUUUUUUCAUAAAAAUCCCCCUGCCUCCCUUUCUUCUUGCUCCCCCCGUAACCUCCUUCCCCCUUGUUUGUGGCAGUCGGUUCCUAUCUUCCCGGGCAAGCCAUUACCUCCCUUUGCUAUUCAUCACAUCAGCAGCAUGGCUUUUCUUUAUUGUUCAUCACAUCAGCAGCAUGGCUUCCCUUUGCUGUUCAUCAGAUCAGCAGCAUGGCUUCCCUGUCUCUUGCAGUUGGUCCCACACAUGGAGAGGGGUCCCUCGGGUGCUGCCAGCUCCUCUAAUAUAUAUAAAAAAAAACUAAAUACCCCUUGGCUCUUCAAAGGGGGUCUACAAUUUGUCUCAAUAUACAUAAUUAAACUAUUAUUCAUUCCUUGAUCUUUAUUUGAUUGCAUAUUAGUUUUAAGGAAUCUAAUAAUUUCAUUAAGAAAUUUUAGUAUUAAAUACAAAAGUUACUAUAUAAAAGAAAAAGGAAAAAUUAAAACAAAAAAUUAAUAAUUUUCAUAUUUCAUUUUUAAAAUUCAAAUUUUCAAAAAUAGAGGCGGAGUAUUUCUAUUUUUUAAAAUGACAAAAAAAAAAAAACAAGUAAAAACAAAGUCUAAGGUAUCCUUCAACACUAAUUGAUAUUUCAUAUUUCAUAUAAAGUCGAUUGAUAUGGGAAGUAAGGAUAAUAGUAAAGCGGGUUCAAGAUAGGUCAUCUCCUUCCCAACCCCGUCUCGUUUAUUUAAAAUAAUUUUCAUAUUUGUCAUAGUAAAAAAAUUAAACAGUAUGAGACAGGAUGUAAAAUUUUCAUAUCGGUGCAUACUCAUUUAACUUUUUUUAACAUUUUUUAAACAUUUUUUAAAUUAAAUUUUAAAAUUUUUAAUUAUAUUAAAAAUAUACAUUUUAUAAAUAAUUAAAAUAUUAUAAUUUUUAUAAUUUUAUGUGUAUUAAAAAUAGGAAAAUAAAAACAUAAAUUAAAUUAUUUGAUAAAAUUAAUUUUAUAUGUAAUCUGGAUGAGGCGGGAUAAGAUAACACCCGACCCGCACUGCGGUUUAAAAAAUCUCAAACCAUCCCUACUUCGCUUAUCUUAAUUCUAAACAUAUCCUAUUAGGGGCUGGGUGGAUAAUUACCCAAGAAAAUCCGUGUGAUUUCUCACAUUUUGCCGCCCUCCUUCUAAUCGUUGGAAAAAUGUGUCUUUAAAUUUAUAUAUAAUGUUUAAUACGAGCUAUCCAAAGCCCACUUGAAGCCCAACUCAAUUGAGUUGGACUUGACAUUUCCUGAUCAAGCCCAAUGGACCAGGUUGAGCCCACCCAAGUCCAUAUGUUUCCAUUGGUUCUUGUUUAAUGCUAGACCUACUCCUCCAAGUCCCAAAUACCUAAGAAUGGUAUAUGAGGAUACCCAUGUAUUGCAACUCUCUUCGUCUUUUAAAUACUAAAAGUCAAAUUUUGACUAAAUGAAUUUUAUUUAAUAAACUUUUUAAAAAUAAUAUUUUUAUAAUAUAAUUCUCAUAUAUAAAAUCAAUAGCAUGACAAAAAUAAUUACUUCUAUUUCUACUUCUUCUCUACAUAAUAAAAAUAAAUUAAAAAAAAAAAACGAUGUCAAAGACUAUAGAAUAUUAUGAAAUUAGAUAAAGAGUGCCUUUAAGGUUAAUUGAGUCCUAUAACAAAUUUAUUUGUAUUUUAAAAGUCAAAUGCUAAGUAGGAAAUACAUUUUUAUUUUAUUAAAAUUUUAAAGUAAAAAAUUUUCAUCUCCAUUUUUAAUAAUUUUAAACACUAAAUGUCUUUUGAAAGAAUUUCUCAAAUACUAAGUUCAAUCAUAAUUUUUCAAAAAUAUUUUAAUAGAAUUCUUGGUAGCAAUCCCAUACUUCACUCACACUUUUUUUAGACCUUGAUAUGAUUCAUUGAAAAUUUGAAUACAAUGUAGUGUUUAUUUUUCUAUUGAAUAAAAAAAAAUCAAAAUAUUUAAUUUUUUUAUUUAAUUAAAACUAAUCAUCGAUAUCAACCAACAUAAUAGAUUGAGUUUAAUUUUAUUGGGUGAUAUAACGGAUUACUUUUAAUUAAAUAAAGAAAAUCAAAUAUUUUAAUAUUUUUAUUCAAUAAAAAAACAAACGAUACUUGUUUUUUUAAAAAUCAAGAAAAGAAAAUUUUAUUUAAUUAAAAUUUUAAAAACUAUCAUAAUUAUCUCUAUAUUUAAUAAAAUUAUUUUAGAAUAUUUUAGUUAACUAAAAAUCUUUUUUCGUGCGUCUGAAAAAGGAAAGGACGAAUCCUCAAAAUUUCAAUAAAUCCUUAUAUUAGAUAAAAACAUUUUUAAAGUAUUGAUAUAAAAUUCAAUCAAAAUCAUAAUGAUUACUUUAUUUCUUUUAAGGAAGAAAUUCUACGACUAGUGGUUUCUCCUCAACUUUCUUUAUUUCCUUUUUUUCCUUAAAAUGCUAUAUUUGGUUCGGAAAAUUUGAGAAAAAAUGCCGAGAAAAGAAAAUAUAAAAAAAAAUAGAAGGAAAUAAAAAGUAAAAAAGAAAAUAUUAAAAAUUCAUAAAUUAUUUUUAUUUGUUAUUUCAAACUCACAGUUUAAAAAUAUAUAAGUUUUUAACUAAUUUUAAUUAUAUUUAAUUUUUUUUAAAUAUUUUUUAUAAAACAAUAAAAUAUGAGAAAAUCAUUUUUCCUUUAUAUUUUUUUCUUUCCAUAAUAUUUUCUAGGAACCAAACACAACCAAAAAGAAAAGUUCAAAGCAAAAAUUAAAAAAUUAAAAAGAAUUCUAAAUAUGUAUAGUUGUGUUUGGCUCCCAGAAAAUGUUGAGGAAAUAAAAUAAAUAUAAAAAUAAAUAAAUUUUUCACGUUUAAUUAUCUUAUGAAAAAUAUAAAAUAUAAUUAAAAUUUUAUGUAUAUUUAAAUUAUUUAAUUUUUAUAUUAAUGAAUUAAAAUAAUUAAAAUGAGUUUAAAAUAACAAAUAAAAAUAAUUUAUCUAUCUUUAUUAAUUUUUUUCUUCUUUUUUUUUUUUUCAUUUUUAGAUUUUCCAAACCAACAAUAGUUUUGAAACAAUAUUGUAUUUCUCCCAUGUAUGAGGGGUUGAGUCGAAUUAUUCAACAAAGGGCCAUGGUCAACACUCAACGCAGACAGGACCCGAGACUUGCCUAAAUCAAACAUAAUGAAAUUGGAUGAGAGCGAGGGAGGGAGGGAGGGAGGGAGGGAGGGAGGGAGGGAGAGAGAGAGAGACAGAGAGAGAGAGGGAGGUAGUGGAGAGAGGAGGAGAGAGAGGGAGGGAGAGAGAAAGAGGGAUGGGAAGAGAGAGAUAUGGUCGGCACUCGACACAAACAGGAGACAAGCCUAAUCAAACAUCAUGAAAUUGGAUUGGAAGAGAGAAAGAGGAAGAGAGAGAGAGAGAGAGAGAGAGAGAGAGAGAGAGAGAGGGCCUAUCACACGUACGUCACAUGAAGACACAUGGCAUGUGGAAUAAUGGCAUGUUAGUGGUUUUAGUUAAUAGGGACAGCUCGCAGUUAUUAUCCAUAACGCGUCUCCAUCUGUUCUCUCUAAUAACGUGUUAGAUCUGAUUGCAUGAUUCAUCUCACCCUCCUCAGUCCUCACCCUCCCCUUCUCUCCUUAUUUAUUAGGGCUUUUUUUCUAGUUCCACACAAACUGAAUGUGCUCACCAAUGCCAUGAGUGGGAGCCAUGUUACCCUUUCAGUGAUAGGCUCCUCCUCACUUUAAAGACCUUUUGGGGAUAUAUAUUUGAAAGUCAAAGAUUGAUUGAAAAAGAUUAGAAUACACGUCUAAAAUUUUAGCAUUGAAUUUGAUUGAAAAAGACUUUAGACCAUCCCAUUUGAAAGCAAACCUUCUUCUUCUCCCACUUGUAUGGCAUUUACUCCUUUUUAUUAUACGACGAAUUUGAAAAUUUUCAAGUUAGGGGACCUGUAUUUAUCAAACUUCCAGUUUGAUUAAUUUGAUGAGAAUAUUAACUAAUAGAAUUCAAAUAUAAAUUGGCUUGCAACUUAGACAGAUUAUUCGGGUUGAUGGUAACCCCAUUAAUUAAUCUAAGUUCAAUCUAACCCUAUAUCUAACCCAAGGUACUUAAUCUAAGUCCAAUUCAACCUCAUUUUUUUAAAAUUUUGGUUAAACUCGAAUUGAUCAGGUUAAAUUUAGGUUUAUGGGAUUAGACUUGAAUUGAUUAGGUUAAUUGAAUUGUAUAAUUUAAAAUCACUAAUAAAUUUAAAAUAAAAUUGUAUAUAUUGUAAAUAAAACAAAAUUGCAAAAUAAUGAUAAAAAAUAAAAAUAAAAUUUUAUAUCUUUCUAAAAAAUAAAAAUAUAUGAUAUAAUUAUAAUUUGAUUUUUUUUUUAAAUUUAAAAAAAUGAAUACUAUUAUAUAGGAUAUAAAUAUUAUAAAAACACGAAAUCUAAUCCGGGUUGUUCAAACUUUAACCUAAACUCAAUUCAAGUAUUAAAAAUAUUUUUUCAACUUCAUCCAAAUAUUGGGUUAGGUUGGCCAAUCCAUCCAAAUUGCACCCCCUAAAUAUAAAUGAAUGAGAUCUAAAAAUUGUUAACGUGACACUAUUUGAUUGAUAAUAUUAUUUCGAUACUUAUAAAAAAUAAUUAUAUUUCAAUAAUCUAGUAAAACUUGAAGAUAAUGAUCAUAUGAUGGUUAAAGAUUAUGAUAUGUAAAUUUUUUGCUUAAUAAAAGAAACAAUCAUUUUGUAGAUAUAUUAUAUAUAAUAAGCAAGUAAAAUAAUUAUUUGAUUUAGUUAAAUUAAUUUGAAUUGUAUGCUUUUUAUUUGUAUUUUUAAAGAAACUAACAUGGCCCAUUAAAUAAAUAAAUUUAUUUUUAAUGUUUUUAAUUUUUUUUUUUAAAAAAUCAAUAAAUAUAAAGUAUGAAAUUUUCUUAAUUAAUUUUUUGAAAAUUAAUUUACAAUUAAGGCAAAUAGAAGUAUUUUCUCCUAAUAAUGUUUUAAAAAUCCAUUAUUUUUAUUUGGACAAGGCUUUGCCUAUUUAAGGUUGGUCCACAAAUCGACAGUGUGGGAUCAGGCCCAUUGAUUUUAAUAUUGUAACAUUUUAUUUAUUAAUUUAUUUAUUGUUACAUCAAAACAAUGUUGUUGUGACCGUACCUAAAUUUAAAAAUAGAAAGUUUAUUUAAGGGUGAUAAAAAAAUACUUUUAUUAAUAGUUUAAUAAAAAUAGGAAUUAUUUGGAUGAUUUUUAAAAAGUAAUAAAAAUAAAUUUCUUUUAGCUUCCAUUUGAUGGUGAAAAAAAAAUAUUUUUAUUAAUAUUUUAGAUAACUUAAACACGGUUAUUAGAAGAAUCAUUUAUAAAAUGAUUGUUUCGGACUCACGUCAAAUAAUUAUGUGGAAAUCACUUUAAGUAAUUUUUUAUAUUUUAAAAAAUAAUUUAAAAUUUGAAUAAAUAGAAAUGUUUUCAAACCUUGAAAAUCAAAAUCAUUUUCAAACUAAAUUAAAUUUUAUUUGAAAACAUAUGACUUAAAAAAAUUUCAUAUAUUAUUACUUCAUACAAAAAAUUAUUUCUAAUUUUAAAAAAUUAUGAUGUCAAUGUUAUCUUUUAAAAAUUGAUGAUUUUGGAUUUGACUCGACUAUCAGUCAAAGAAAAAAAAAAGAUAAGCUUAUGAAAAAAAACGAUAAAAUAAAACAUAUAAACUCCAUUUUCAAUAGAAUUAAAUUAUAAUUAUUUUCAAUUCUUAAAAAAUAAAAAAUAAAAAAGUCAUUUCCAAAAUUAUUGUAAAUAAUUUAACACUUUUUAAAAAUAAAAAAUAAAAAUAAAUAUCAAUAUCAUUGCGAGAUUAUUUAAAAUACUCAAUCAAAAUUGCACACAGACAAUGUCAUUUAUAACCAAUAAACCCGUAUCAAGCAUAUCUAAGAUAAUUAAGAUAAAUAUACUAUAAAUAUAAUAUUAAAAUUUUCUCUUCAUCAUGGUAGACAUCAUAUUUCAUUAAAAUGUAAUUAUAAGAAAAUAUAAAUUUAAAUUAUUGACAUUUGUGGCAUCAAAGGUGGUGUUAGGCAUUUAGUUCUCUUUCCAAGUAACGUCCAACAAACAAGGAGCCUCCGUCUUAAAUUAAAUGAUGAUAAAAUUGGCAAGGAAACACAUGGCUCUAACCAAAAAGUCAUCCAAACGUAGCAUCCUAUGCAUGUUGAGAUAAGGUUUUGUCUUGCUCACCGACUGAGAUGGAGGAAAAGGAAAAAAGAUUGUUUGAAUCUCACGCUUAGAUAGGAAUGAUACUGGAUUAGAUUUUCUCAGCUACUUUAUCCGAUGGAUUUUAAGUCACUAAAAUUUUCUCUAGGACGAUGAUUGAAAUUCACCUCAUCCUGACCUCACCGGUUCUUGAUCUAAGUAUUGAAACUGUUGGAUCCUCUUCUUGUUUCUUAGAGAUCCACCAUGAUACAUGCCUAGCAUCCUUACAAGAUCACCCAAUUUAGUCCUUUGACUAGGAAGACGUAAAUUGAUCAAACUCUGCUAUCAGAUUUCACAUAACAUUUUUUAUUUUGACCACCUGCCUCCUAUGGAGAGUGGGUCAGUUAGGUCGAUACCUUUCCGUUGUGUUACUCAUGAAAAAAAAAAAGAAAAUGAUCAAAUUAUUUUCAUAUUUUAUUGUGGGAUUAAGGCCUCGUUUUAUAGUUUUCUUUUGGUCGAUCGAUUACAAUAAGGUAAUAAAUAAAGAUCAAUUAUGAGGACAUUUAAUAGUACUUUUAUGAAAUGUUUUUGAUAUUUUUAUUAUUUAAAAAAUAAAAAAUUUUAAAUAUUAAAAAUAAUAAAAACAUUUUCAAAAAUUACUGUCAAAUACAUUCUAUAUAUUACUUUCAAAGUAGGCCCAUUUUGAAUGGUCUGACGGUUAUAUAAUGAUUUUGGAAUGAACUUUAGGAUUUUAGUUACUGUGUGAUUGAUAUGGGGGUUGUGACCAUUACGUGUGCAAUUAAUAUAUAGAUUGUCCUUAAUAUUACGUCGUAUUCUAUAAGUGGUGGUUGUCUCCUUAGUCUUUUCUAUAGUGUGAUGAUGGUAAUGAUUUAGUUAUAUUUUCUCGUAAUGGCAUCAUGAUGGGUGAUGUAUGAAGCUACUGUGCCAUUUUUUUACCUUGCAACAUGGUGAAGGAUUUUUCAUAUGAUCUUGGGUCAAUCAAAGUAUCAAAUUUCUAAAUUCUCGAACAACUCCCUUUCUCUCAUCUUUCUUUUAAAUCCUAUUGAAUAAUUUUCAUAAAUUCUGUAAGAUAUUUCAUUUUUCGGGAGAAGAGAUCAAUUUUUUUAGUUUUAUAGUGCUUUUUUUUUCUAAAAAUAAUUUUUAAAUGAUUUAAUUAAUACAAUUUUCUUAGAAGGAAUAAAAAUAAUCACAUAUUCCCAAUCCAUAUUUUAGAAACAUGAAAUAUAACUUUUCUUUUGGAAAAAAAAAUACUCUUUGUCAAUUAAUUUUUUUUUUUUAUAUCCCCACGCCAUAUUCAAGCAUUUUCUUUGUUUGUUUGUUUUUUUUGAGAAAAAAAUAUUGUUUGAUUAAAAGGAACAAAAGCAUAUUCAAUUUCUUUAAUCCCAUCUUACUAGAACAAAAAUGUCAAAACAAAGUUACAUUUACAAUUUUCAAUAAAUAAGAGUUAUUUUCUAAAUAUGAGGAUUAUUUUAUACUGUUGACAUAAAUGCUUAAAAAAACUUGUAACAGUAAAAAUGUUAAAUCAAAGUUAAAUUUAUAAUUUUCAAUAAGUGAAGUUUGUUCCAAAUAUGAGAAUUAUCUUGUCCUUUUGACAUAAAUAUUUCAUAGGCUUAGUUUGUGUUAUAUAUUUGGUUUUAAUUGGAAGGUCCAGCUGAAAUUAAAGUUUUUUAAAAGAUAAUAUUAAUAUUAUAAAUUUUUUAUUAAAUAUAAAAGACUUUCUUAUAUAAAUCAAAAUAAAACUUCUACAAGUAGUACUUUUUUAUUUAUUUUUAUAUUAAUUUAUUUUUUAUGUGGAUAUUUGGUAAACUAACUUAAUAAUUUAAAGUGACUUAAUAACUUAAUUUAAGUCAUUAAGUAAAUUAAGUAUAUUUAGUAAAAUAACUUAAUGGUAUGACUUAAAGAAAAAAAUAAUUUUAAGUAAUAAGUAAAAACAAUUAAUUUAUUUUUAAGUUCAUAUUUUCAUUUUAUAUUUUUACCCUUAUUUGCCUUAGUUACUUUCAUGAUCUAUUUUGUUAUUCUAUGACCUCAAUGGUUACUCGACUUCUUUUACUUGAAUUAUAAUUUAUGAGGAUAAAUAUGUCAAUUUGAUGAUUUAAAAUAAGUUUUAAGUUAGUUUUAUUAAACAACCUUAAUGUGGAUCUUGCAUUUUGCACGAUGUGUUUCCACUCGACGGUGAAACUUGUUUUUUUUUUAUUUUAUUUGAUGAAAAAUUGAUUUUUAGAAAAAGACUUGGAGUCGCCACUUAUUUUAUUUUUUUUAAAUUUAUUUUUUUUAAAGGAAAAACAAAAUAAGAAAGAAAAACUCUAAGUGUGACUCCUAAAGGAAAAAUAGGUCUGUAAAAAACCAAGUUUGGGUUCGAGGGUCAAGUUACCUAUUGGAAAGGUAGGGUAAAAAGACCGUAACACCCCUCUAAGUCCCUAAAAACGGGUCUCUACUAAAUAAGGUGAAAUAAGUGUGACAAUUGAUAAGGAAAUCAAUGGAUACCAGUAAAAUAAUCAAAUAAUAAAACAAAUCACACAUAAGAAUAAGCAAAGUGGGAGUGAAGACAUACUUUGGUGGCAGGUAAUAAAACACUAUUAUGAAAUAGAGUUAAUACACAAUAAUGAAUACAAAAUAUAUCACAUGCAUAUCAAAUAACAAGACAAAGAUCAAACAAUAUUCAUUAAGUAUAACAGUUGACGAUCAAAAGAGAAAACUCAUAUGUAAGACCUCUACCAAAGCCCAAUUUAUUUUGCAUGAAUUAGUCCCACAAAUUCCAUUAUUUUGGAAUUAUGAAAAUCAUAUUCAUGCUUAUUAAAAAUAGAGAAAAUCGGAAAAUUAUUUGAAGAGUAAGGAAAAUUUGUGAAAGUACUUACCUGAAGGAAAAUAUAGAAAAUUUAUUAAAAAUGAGAUAAAAUCCUAAUAAAGGAUGAAAAGUUGUAGAAUUAAAAAAUAUUUGAAAACUGGAGUGAAAUUGAAAUUUAUUUGAAAAUUGAAGUCUUGAAAAUUAAAUUUAAGAAUUGAAGUUUUGAAAAAUUAAAUUUGAAAGAAAUUAGAGUUUUGAAAAUUAAUUGAGAAUUAGAGUUUUGAAAAAUUAUUUGAAAAUGAAAGUUUUAAAAAUUAAAUUUAGAAAUUGAAAUUUUGGAAAAUUAUUUGAAGAUGAAAGUUUUGAAAAUUAGAAUUUUAAAGAAUUGUGAAUUUUGGAAAAUUAUUUGAAAAAUGAAAUUUUGAAAAUUGGAAUUUUGGAAAAGUAUUUGAAAAUUGAAGUUUUGAAAAUUUUAAAUUUGGAAAUUGAAAUUUUGGAAAAUUAUUUGAAGAUUAAAUUUAAAUGUGGGAAUUUUGGAAAAUUGAACUUUGAUAAAAAAAAAAUGAAGAAUUAAAAUGGAAAUGUGGGUUGCACACGCGUGAAAGAGAAUUGGAAGCUGUUUAAGUGGAGGAAAUAGUGAGAAAAAAAAUGGGUUUGGUGGUUGCAUGAGAGAAUGGAAAGAAUGGAAAUGAGCUGCUAGAGUUGGGACCCAUCAUUUAGUUGAGUUUUCCAUGUUAAGUUAUGCCCAUAGUCUCAACUGUGCCAUUUCUAAGUAGAAAAACCCAACAACUCCAUGAACAAUGGAACAACAGCCACCCAUAUUGCAGUAUAAACAACUUUCCAAGCAAACUAGAAGCCCAUAGUUCUAGAAAGAAAUGAAAAUGAAAAGUGCAAGGAGUUGGGUCUUAUACUAGGAAUUAUAUGGCCCAAUUCCAUAAACCUCACAGCAACACAAACAAUUUCACAGAUUCCUUCAUCAAAACCAGAGGCAGCCGAAAUGAAAACCAAAUAGAAGAUAGCCAUAAACAAUACCUUCCAAUAACCUGAGACAGAGGACCGCCGGAGUCCCUGAGCAAGUCCCCCUCGACUCUCUGUUUUUCUCUCCCCUCUUGCUUUGUUUUCCUUUUUCUUUCUAUCCCCACUCUCGUUCAAAUUUUCUCAUCUCCUGAACCCGCUAGAUCUCCACUUCUCAUCUUUCUCAAGCUGCUCAAGUUUUUCAUUCUUUUUGGUUCCUUUCAAAAACCAAUUUCCUCCAACUCUUUCCUACCCCAAUCCCCUUCUGGAUUCCUCUCUCAAUCUCUAUUUUUCUCCUAUUUCUCUCCUAUUUCUCUCCUUCCUACCACUACCCAUUUUUCCUCCUUUCUCAACUCAAUUUAUCUUGCUCUCACAUCUGCUACCAGCUUCACUGUUCUUGGUUCAACAAAUACAUCAUCGUCCCAACCACCACCAUGGCAAGGUGGUGGUCUCCUCAGCCAUGCGUCCCAUGCAUCUUGCUCUUUUGAAAACCAGCCUCCACUCCAAAAACAAGCUACCAACUCUUCCCGGGUGUGAGAAAAAUCCCCCGAUCCAAGAGGGGUCUACAAAUAUGCCCCUCUUCGGUAGAAUUCACGAGUGUAAGGAAUAUGAACACUAGAGUGAAUAAAAAGUGUGAAUAGUGAGCGGAAUGAAGUGAACUUAUCAAAGAAAAAGAAAGACCCCUAAAAAUACACAAGUAGAACACAAACUUGCUCAAACUAACAAAUGAACAAAAAAGACUCUAAAAUCCUAAGAGAAAGGUAGCUCUCAGGGUGCUUCUAAAGCUGCACUAGGGAUCCAGACUAUCUUCAAGGUGUCUUCAAAAGUGACUCGAAAAUCGAUGUCAAAGUUGAGUAGUUGUCGAACCACCAAGGAGCAUAGGAAUAAAUGUGUACAAAGAAAGAAACCACACAUCUACUAUACGAAAGUAGGAUGAAAUAUGAAGUUAUGAGGACAAAGUGUGCAAAGACUAGAGUCAUCUAAAUCUAAACGAAAUGAUGGGAUGCGGUCAUACUGACCGGAAUUGCCAAAAACAGAGGAAAAAUCAAAUGCGGUCACCAUGGCUGAAAACACCUAAAACUGAGAAAAGAUGAGACGCGGUCACCAUGACCAAAAUCACCAAACUAAAUGAAUGAAUGAGAUGUGGUCGCAAUGACCGAAAUCACCAAAAAUAGAUAGAAAAGACAAGAUACGGUCUCAAUGACUCAAACCGAACUGAUAUGACAAUGACUGAUCGAUAUAGGUGCGGUCUCAUAAACUCAAAUUGAUAAGAUGAUGACCGAUCGAUAUAAGUGUGAUCCCAACUCGAACUGAAAACAAACUAAUAGGAAGAUGACUAAUCGAUAUAGGUGCGAUCCCAAAAACCCAAACUCAAAUUGAUAAGACGAUAACCGAUCGAUAUAGGUGUGGUCCCAACUCUAACUCAUACAGACAAUAUGAAUGACUGAUUGAUAUAGGUAUGACCCCAAACAUUGAACCGACACGAUGAAUGACCGAUCGAUAUAGGUGCAGUCCCAACACAAACAGAUAGGAAGAUGACUGAUCGAUAUGAGUGCGACCUUAAAACACUAACUGAAUUGACAGAUAAAUGACCAAUCAAUAUAGGUGCAAUCCUAACUCAAACUAAACACAAACUGACAGGAGGAUGAUCAAUCGAUAUUGGUGCGACCCCAAAACACUAACUGAAUUGACAAGAUAAAUGACCGAUCGAUAUAGGUGCGGUCCCAACUCAAACUAAACACAAACUGAUAGGAAGAUAAUCGAUCAAUAUAGGUGCGACCCCAAAAACUGAACUGACAUGAUGAAUGACAAUAAAUAAAGUUCAUUAUUUUUUUUAAAAAAAUAUCAACAAUCAAAUUGUAUUACUCCUAUGAAUAAAACUUGAAAAAAAAAUCAUUUUUAAAUAAAAUUUCUUUUUAGUUAUUUUUAUUUUUAUUUAUUUAUUUACUUUUAGUCCUAAUAAAAUUGAAUAAACCUUUUUUCAAUAAUUUAAAUUUUUUUUUAAUAAAAUCAAACAAUAAAUAAUUUCUGGUAGAUAAAAAAAAAAGAUUGAAACAUUUUUGUAAUUGAUUUUGGAAAAAUUUGUGUUUCUAUUAAUUUUUUUUCUUUUCUUUUUAUAUAUAUUAUUUUUAAUAAAUUCUUUUGAUACAAUAAGUGUAAAUAAUUUUUUUGAAAAUUGAAUCAAAUCACUUGAUGAAAAUAGUUUGUAAAUAAAUAAAUUGAACUCACUCAUUCAAAAUCAUUUUUAAUAAAAUCCUUUGAAAUUUCAUGAAAACUAUUUUUUUAUAUCUUUUUUUUAGUUCAAUAAAUCAUUUUGCAUAAUUCUCUUGUUAUUUAUUUUGUGUAUUCUUAUAAUUAGAUUUCAUCAUUAUUUUUGUGUAUAUUAAUUUUCACUAUGACUUGUAUAUUGAUUAUUUUUCUUGGUAUCCAUAAUUAAUUAAUUAAUUAAUUUUCACAAUUCCCUUAAUUCGUUUAGUAGAGGUCGUAUGUAUACGGGCUUAGAGGGGUGUUACGGUUCACCACCAUACCUUCCCAAUAAGUAACCUGACCCUCGAACCCAGACUCGGUUUUUUCACGGACAUGUUUUUCCUUUAGGAGUCACACUUAGGGUUUUUCUUUCAUAUUUUGCUUUUCCCUUUAAAAAUAAAACAAAAAUAAGUGACGACUCCAAGUCUUUUUCUAAAAAUCAAAUUUUUACCAAAUAAAUAAAAAGCGAAUCACUCCAUCGAGUGGGAAUGCAUCGAGCCAAUGCAGAGUCCACACUUAAUACUUAAUGUAAGAAUUAAGUAAUAAGUUUUAAACUAACAAUUUAAAUAUACUUUAAUUUAAAAUCAAUUUAAGUUAUUAAGUAAUAAGUACUUAAUUUUACCAAACACUUAAUCAAAUUAAGGCAUAGAAUAUCUCGUGCUUCAAAAAAAAAAAAAAAAAGACUUCUCAUAAAUCCAAUCAAAUUAGGGCCUUGGUACCAACAAUGUAUGCAACUAGAAAUAAAAUUCUCAUAUUUGAUCAAUUUAUGAAGUCAAGCUAAGCUAGUCUAUGAUAGUAGUGUUCUCUCUGCAAACAACACUUUAGUCUUUACUUUGGGAUUAUUAAACCUUGAGUUUAUAAUUUUUGGUUUUCAUUUUGUUUAUUGUCUUUGAUUUUUUCCAUUUUGUUUAAAAAGAAUAUUCUAAUCAAUUAACAUAAUAAGUGAUUUUAAAAAAAUUAGAACAUCUAAUUAAAAAAUCAAAUAUUGAAUAAAAUUUAAUUAAAAAAAAGCGCUUUUAAAAAUUAAUCCUAAAAAAAUAAUUUUUAAAAAAAGUGUUCUUCUCAAGAGUACAAUAGCAUAUUGUCUAUUAUGGUGCACUUCAACCAUGAUUGUAACACAACUGCUCAAAAGUAUUCCUCUAAAAUGAUUUUAAAAGGAUCUCCAUGUAGAUUUGUUUUUUUGUUUAUGGUUUUUUUCUCAAAUAUAAGGGGAUUUUUUUUUCUCUUUCCCAAGAGUGGUUCAUUUAUUUAGGAAACAACCACUUAUCCUUAUGCUAUGAACCAACCUUAGGAUGAGGAGUUGUGAACCACAAAAUUUUGGUGAAAAAUGAAUUUUCUAUGAACCAAAUAUUCUUAUGAUGGAUCAAGGAACCACCAUCCACAUUGUUUUAUUUUUAAAAAUCUAAUAAUUAAUACAAUCUUAUAAUAUAAUUUUUAAAAAUCAAAGUGUUAGCAAUAGCAAACUAUAUAAGUUGAUAUAUAUAAAAGAUUUCAUAUAUAAUUUUUAAAAAUCAAAGUGUUAGUAAUAGCAAACUAUAUAAGUUGAUAUAUAUAAAAGAUUUCAUAUAUAAUUUUUAAAAAUCAAAGUGUUAGCAAUAGCAAACUAUAUAAGUUGAUAUAUAUAAAAGAUUUCAUACAUAUCGAACAAUAUUUUUUUUGUUACCUAUAAAAAUGACACCACUAAUAAAGUAAUAUCACAUAUAUAUUUUUAAGUUUUACUUUUUUAUACUCUUCUACCAUAGUUCCAUUUGUUUAUAUUUUCGAUGAACGAUUUGGAUUUCAUCAUAUAUAUUUCGGUAGUUCAGAGUUUAGUUAAUUUAUAAUUUAAUUCUUUUCUCAACUAUCUAGAUCUCAUCAUAUAUAUAUAUUUUAAUACUCUAGACUUUCGUAUGUUGACAUUUUCCACAUUGUUAAGUUGCAUUUAAGUCCCAAAGUUGAUGGCCCUCUUAAUGAAAUAAGUGGAACCCAUGUUACCAACCAUAGUGGUGAGUCGGCUCCUAAAAUUGAAGGACUUUGGACCAACUCUGCAGGCCCAUGAUUUUAUACAAAUUCUGACUGAAAGUUAUUCUAUUGGAAAAUAUACUUUCAAUAUGGGUUGAUUGAAAGUGACUUUAUAUUUGAUAAUUAUAAUUUUUUUUUCAAAAAUAUAAUAAUUGUAUUGGAAGCUUUGACCGCUUCCUCCUGCGUUAUUUAAGGCCAUUUCCACACCUUUCAAAGCAACAAGAAAAAUUUUAAAACGAGAGUUUCCUUAGUUUCUUUGUAUAUGCAUACAUAAGCGCAGGCAUAAUUAAUUGACUGGUGCGGUAGGUGCUACAUUGAAUGGGUCUUUGGCUCUAAGUGUUUUGACUUCAUAUUCCACCACCUUCAACAAAAUAAAUACUUUUAUUAUUUUUAAAUUUAAUAUUUUUCUUUACCAUGUUUCAAUACUCUUAUCAACUUUUUCUAGAAAAAAAAAAUGCCAUUUAUGAAAAUUUGGGAUUCAUUUGCACAUGUUUUCUUAAAUUUGUUUUAAAAAAAAUUAUAGUAUUUUAUAAAAAUAAGGGUGUUUGGUAAAUUUUUUUUUAUUUAAAAAAAUGAUUUAGAAAAAAACUUGUAGUAAUUAAAAGAAAUAUCAUAUUUGAAAUUUUUUAGUAUAUCAUGAAAAGGAAAAGGGAAUGAUAUCAUGUUCAAUUUUAUUUAUUUAUUUUUUAUGUUUUCCUUACGUUCUUAAAAAUGAAUGAAAAUAACUUUUAUUUAUUUUAAAUUUUUUUUUUAUCUAUUUCACUUUGUUUAUAAAAAUUGUUUUCAGAUAAUAACGAUUAAACAAUGUUAUGAAUUUUUAAAAAUGAUUUUUUGUUAAAAAAAAAAAAAGAAGAGUUUUUAUAUCACAUGACCAAACAAACUCUUAAAAAUUUGUUCCCUAUAACUAAAAAGCUUAAAAUUUGUAUUUAUUUAUGUUUUUUUUGGUUAAUGACCAAUUGAAAAAAAAAACUAUGGAAAGAAAAAGGGAAAAGUAAUAGAAAGUUACUUGAAUUUAAAAAUAAUUAAGGGGAAUCUUCAAUUAUUAGGAAAAUUAAUUUUCGAAAUUCCUUUUUGAUAAAAUAAAUCAUUACUUAUUUAUUUUCAUAGUCAAGUAUUCUUGACGAGAAAGAAAAAUAUCAAUAAAUGCUUGUAUUAUAUUAACAUGUUCACGUCAUACUUAAUGUAUGAGGGCAAACAUGAAUAAGUCCACUAAUAAAAUACAAAUUGAAAAUAAUAAUAAUGAACAUGUAUAUGACAUAUCACAUAUGUUAAUUUAAAAGUGCUUUCAAAACAAAUUUAUAAAAAAUAUAUUUUUGACAUGGUCCAAAUAUUGUUUUUUAUAUUUAAAAAUAUUAAUGUUUUAAUAAUAUUUAAAAUAAAUUAUCACAUAUGUGAAUGAUUGUCAAUCAAAAAUAAAAUUCACUUCCAUUUUUAACCUCUAUUUUUUUUUUAAAUUACCUAAGAAAUAAUUUAUUGGAAUUAUACGACAAAAUUUCAAGCCUACUAGGAAGAGACAUGAUGGAGAACUAGAAAGAAAGUUUAGGAGGGCAUGAUAUGAAAUUUAUUUUGGGUUAGAAUAACAUACAAAUAUUAAUUGUUCAUUUUUACUCAAAAUCCUAGGUUAAGGAAUCAAAUUCCUUCUCGUUCAUUUUUUUUUUUCAAAAUUUAUUUCAAAUGGGGCAUUUACCCCUCCUUGGCACAAGGUGGUUCUGCCCUUUAUAUAAGAGAAAGUGGGUUAUUACAAAUGAUAUUAUAGUCAAUCUUGAUUUUAAUUUAUUACAAAUGACAUUAUAGUCAAUCUCGACAUUGAUAUAUUAUAAAUGAAGUCAUAGUCAAUCUUGACAUUAAUGUAUUACAAAUGGGAUAUCCCAAUCAAUCUUAAUACUGAUUUAUCACAAUCGAUCUCUGAACUUGAUAUAUUAAAUUAACAUUUUGAAGUUAUAAAAGCUUUAAUCCAAAAAAUAUUUACACAAAAAGCAAAUAAUAUAUGAUAAUAUCUACACAAAAAGGAACAUAUCGUUAUAGUAUUGACAUUUGUGUUUCAUUUAUCUCUAAUUUUAAACAACUUCUUAUUUUUAGAUAUUAUGUCAAAAUAUGAUGAAUGAAAUUUUAGCUUUCAUAUGAAAUUUCAAGCUUAUUACAUUUUUACAUUGAUUUCAAUUUAGGUGUUAAAUAAAUUCAAAUCUAUUCAAAAUUAUAGUACUGGAAAAAAAAGUUUUAUUUUCAUAUAUUUUCAUUUAAAGUGAAGAGAUUAGCAUAGUAAAAAGAAAAAAAAAAUUCCAUCUCAAAUUAGUGAAUAAUUGAAACUAAAAAGUAUAAAAAUAAUUUUUUGAAUAACUUAUUCAAACACACUCAAAUAAAUUAUGAAAAAAAUUUAAAUUAUGACAAUCUUCUCAGAAAUUUUUUCCUUACAUAAAUGCAUGGUUUACCUGUUCAAUAGAACUGUUCUCUGACAAGCCUUGAAAGAAUAUCAUAUAUAUAUAUAUAUACAUAUAUAAAAGGUUUCUUUCUUAAAUGUCAAAGGUUGGUUAGGGCUUAUCAAGAGAUUGAAUCUAAAAUAAUUUAUAUUUAUUUAUUCAUUAAUUUAUUUAUUUUAAUUAAUGUUGUGACAAGGGUUCAUUUAUAUAUGCAAUAAAUGUAUAGUUGUUGUAAUGCAGACUUGAAUAUAUAAAUAGGUCAAAUAAUGAUUGAGUGGUGGCAUUGGGAACCAUGGCACUACUCAUCUCAAGGGAGCUUUUUAUAUUCCAACAGCAUUGUGUCGUGUGCACCGACAUUGGAUUUGCUAGAAUGUAGUGACCAUUCAUAUGGCAAGUAGUAGGUUUGAUUGAUUAUUUUUUGUAUAUAUAUAUAUAUAUUAUUUAAUAUAGCCGACUAAUUAAUAUCAUAAUAAGCCUAUAUUUAUAAUAAACAAUUUGUACUUGAAUUAUAAUUCUAAUUUUAAUUAACCUAGGACUAAUAAACAUAUAACAAAUUUAAAUAAAUAAUAAUUAUUAAUAUUUCUCAAAUACUUUAAAAAUUAUUUUUCUAAUUUGACUUUAUGUUGGAUUUCCAUUUUCAAUAAUCUACCUUAAAACAAGCUUUAAAUUUAUUUACAUUAAGUCUUAUCUUUAACUUCUAGCAGUACUUCUUUUGCUUAGUAGUUUUAUAAAAAUAUAUGUAACUUGAUUCUCUAAUCCACAAAACUUAAUCUUGAUUUUCUAAUAUCAUGAGCCAUCAAAUUUCUUGUCAAUGCAAUAAUAGAGUUAUUACUACACAAUAUUUUUAUAGGAUUUUUUUCUUCAUGCUUGAACUCACUUAACAUUUUAUAAAGCCAAAUUGCUUGAUAUUCCAUGGAAGUCACUACCAUUUAUUUAACUUUUGUAGUCAAUAAUGUUAUAACUUGUUGCUUCUUUGAAGUAAUGAAAAUGCUAAUCUUAGAAAAUAUAAAAAAUAAAAAAAAUAAAAAAUAGCAGUACUGUUACCUUCCCAAUCUCUAUCUAAUGCAACCCAUUAAACUAAAAUUUCUUGAGUAAGAACAUAAAAUUUCAUAAUGACGAGUACCAUUCACAUCCCUCAAAAUUCGUUUUGUUCCUUGCAAGUAUGAAUAUUUCAAACACUAUUUGAUGAUUCCCAUUCCAUGAACAAUAUCUAGUCUAUUAGUAGUCGAAUACGAAGACUUCCUAUUAUACCCUUGAUCUAUGUGAAUUUAAACUAUCAAAUCACAAAUUAAUAAAGAUGGAAACAAUCAAUUAAUUUGGGAAGCUUGAGGAGUGAGGGGUCACUAACCUCUAACUGGUAUGAGUUGUUACCUAUUGUGUGUCUAGAGUUCAACCAAAUGAGAAUGAGGUGUAGUACCUAAUGUUCUAUCCCUCUCACCAUUUUAGUGUAAGGUUAUUUUGCUCAUACUCUCUCUACAAGGACACUUGGCUCUUACUCGUUUAUAUUCCUCUAGUUAAUGAGUUCAACUAGCUUGACUACUUGGCAAAUUUGGGUGUGGUUAAUUAUAUCCUACUUCCCAUCCUACCUAGAUUCAUCGUUUAGCUAUUUGUUUUAUAUGUUGUAUCCUUUUUAGGAGGAGACUAAUAUUGGGAGAUUUAUACUUGAUGUUUUGGUUCUUAUACCUUUUAUUCUCAUGUGGGUGGUUUAAUAUUCCCUAUUUUUAUUUCAUGGAUCCUUUUGGAGUUGAGGCUUGAUUUCUAGCAUAAGUUCCCUAUCCUUUGUUAGCUAGCACCUAUUGAUUGAACUUCCUAAUCCAAGCUUGUGAGCCAUAUUGCUCAACUUAAGGAAAUGAGGAUGAAAAGGAUGAGAUUAGAGUUACAAAGCAUGACGUAGAUAAGGUUAGACCAUCUAGUAAUCAUAAUCAUACAUCUCAUAGUCAAGUUAGGGUUUGUGGUCAUGAAGCAACUCAUACACUUGCUUUUGAUCCCUUGGCUAAGCUAACACCACCUCCUAUUGAUCCCUCCAAUUGUGAUCUCUUAUAGCAUCUUGUUCAAUCGAUGUAUGUGAUUUUUGUCAACAUUGUAACUAUUGGUUCUUCCUUAGGAUCAAAGGAGACCAAAAUCUAGAGCAUAGAUGAGUGACUUAUUGUACGUAUUUUAGUUGAGGGUGGCUUCUCAUUCAAGUUUGUUCCCUUCUCCCAAUAUAGGCUUAUAUGUUUCAUUUUUUUUUAUGUAUUAGUCACAUGAGACAAUGUUUGUUUUAAAUGUAUUUUGCAACUAUUUAUUCCCCAUCUCUCUCUUUGAUAUUUGGGAUUAUAUUAUGGAUAUUAUGGUCAUAUUUUUGUUUAUCCAUUUCAAUUUAUUCAAAACAUACAUAUUUCAUAUUCAUUUUAAUCGUAUUUAUGGUUGUCUUUUUCCUUAUUUAUCAUUUUUGUGACAAAAAUGCAAAUAGUGAUUGCUAGAAAAAUUAGGCUAAUCCAACUAAUGGUAAUUACCCUAGAGAGGAGGAGGGGGGGGGGGGGGGGGGGGGGGGGGGGGAAAAGGGGGAAAACCCCUUUUUUUAAAUUUUAAUUUUUGGAAAACAAAAAAAAAUCAAUUUCAAAAAUUAAAAAAAAAAAAAAAAAAAAAAUUUUUUUAAAAUUAAAAAAAAAAGGAAAAAAAAAGGGAAAAACAAAAUUUUUUAGGGGGUUCGGGGGAACCCGCCCCAAACCCCCCCCCCCCUAAUUUUAAUCCCAAGCUUGAGGUUCCCCUUUUUUAAGGGUUCCAAAAAAACCCUUUAAAAAAAAAAAUUGGGUUUUGGUUCAAAAAACCUUUUUUGGAUUUUUUGGCCCCAAACCCCUUUUAAACCCCCAAAAAAAAUCCCCCCUUUGAAAAACCCCCCCGGGGGAACCCCCUUUUUAAAAACCCCAAGGAAACCCCCCCCCUUAAAUUUUUUUUUUUAAAAAAAUCAAAAAAUUUUUUAAAAAACCCAAAAAAAAAUUUUUGGCCCCAAAAGAAAAAAAAAAAAAAAANNNNNNNNNNNNNNNNNNNNNNNNNNNNNNNNNNNNNNNNNNNNNNNNNNNNNNNNNNNNNNNNNNNNNNNNNNNNNNNNNNNNNNNNNNNNNNNNNNNNUUGAAACCAAGCAAGAAAUUUGGUACUGUAGUUUCUUGAAAAUUGAAUGAACUAUGAAUGUUGAUUAACUUUGCAAAUAAAACAUAUUGUACCAAGCAUCCAUAUAGUCUAUGUAGUUGAAGCUCAUGAGAUGAAAAUGUUGAAUAAAAACUUUACAAGUGAAGGGUUUUUGAUUCCAAUCAACAAUGGUCAUGACUAUAAAAAUUUGACAUUUAGAGAAUGCAAUUCUCUGAGGAUUGUUUCUAUCAAUAUUAGGAGUAAUCUUGACUGAAUCAAUGUCAACCAAGAUAAACUCAUAAAAGUGAUGAGAUUUCAAAUGGUCAUUUGAAUUGAAGUUAACUCCUUGAGGAAAGAUAUAAGGAAGGAUUCUAGGAAUUGGGGGGUGAAUAGGGUGAUAGUCACUUUUUGUAAAUUUAAAUUAUGUGAAUACAAGAGAUAAUCAUAUGCAAAUAUAUAAUAAAACAAUAUAAAAACAAUUGCAUAUAAAUUAAGAGAAUAAGGAAAAGAGAAUGUAAAUACAAGAUUUUUAUAGGGGUUCGGUGUAACCUGACCUACAUCCACUCUCCUCUAAUUUCAAUCUCAAGCUUGAAGUUCCACUAUUUCAAGGCUUCCAAAUCAAGCCUUUAAGCAAUACAAUUGGAUUAUGGUUCAAAUACACUUUCUUGGACUUUUGGCUCCAAACACCCUUUACAAUCCUCAAGAGAUAUCCCACUCUUGAACAACCUCUCAAGUGAUACCUACAUUUGAGAAUCCCUAAGUGAUACCUCACACUUAGAUUCUUUCUUUCAAAUAUAUACAAAUAAUUUCAUAAAAUCCUAAUACAAAACUUUAGGCUCAAAUGAUACAAGAAAACUAAGAUUGAAUGGUAUACUAAAGAUAUGAAAGUUUUAAAAUAAUGGUGUACUAAAAAAACACUCAGGCUCAAAUAUAUUCAAGAAAGAUUUAGGAAGGUUAAGCUCAUGAAACAAUGGAGAUUGAAGUCUUUUUAUAGAAGAAAAAUGUCAAACUAAUCAUUGGGGGUUCGACCGGUUGACUAACUGUUAGCAUUUAAUGUGUCAGGUGAUUGUAGGACCUCAACCUCCCCUUGACCGGACCUCUACCAGUUGAGGUGGGGGUCGACCGCUUGAGGUUCAACUUUGACCGGUUGAACAAUCGUUCUGAAAGAGAGAAUAUUUUUUUGUACCCCUCAAUCGGUUGAGCUGAGGGUCGACCGGUUCCUCAUCUAGUUCAACUGGUUGAGCUGUUUUUGGCUUAACAACCAACUUUUUCAACUUAAAAUCUUUUAAACAAGUUUGGAAAACAUUUGACACAAGGUUUUAGUUGAAAACAUGAAAUCAUCCAAUUUUAAAAUAUUUAAAACAAAAUAACUCUUGGAUGAUUUUGGUGCAUAAGUAAAGAAUGUAGUGCAUGAAAAUCCUAGUGCACCAACAACCUAACAAAGAGAUCUUAUGAAGCUUGGUCUUGAAAAACACUUCUCUUCGAGGUCUUCUUCUUCUUAAUGAUUUCUCUUUGGCUUGAUUUGUCUUUGUGAUUGCCACUUUGAAAAUCGUCUUACCUAAUCACACUUGAAAUAUAAUUAUUAGUUCUAAACCUUGUUUUGUCAUCAUCAUAACCAAAAUUAACCAAACUUUGGUUUCAUAAUGACUAUUUUAAGCAUUAUUAAGAGAGAAUUAUCUAUGUUCAUGAGCUUAUUAUUUGAGUGAGUGUGUGUGUGUGUGUAGAUUAUAGUAGUGGAUAUUGUAGAGUUCAUGAUAGUUAAUAUGGUUUAAGAUUUAGGAUCAAUGAGCUUUUUAUCAAACAUCGGACAACCUCAUUGUAUUCUUUUAUUUUGUUGCAAAAUCAUUGAAGGGGAGAUUGUUGAUAUAGUAGUCUAUUGGUAAUUUUGUUCUAUUUCUACAUUGAGUUUAAUGCAUCUUACCUCCAAGGGUCUUAUCAAUUAUAGGGAACUUUACAUUGAUUUAGAAUUGGUUAAUCUUUGAGGUACAUAUGUAUUUGAGGCAAUUAAAGCUUAAAAAAUAAUUACGAUACAUUAGCUAGUGACAAUUAUGGAGAAAACAUAAAAAAGCAAAUGUUAUUGAGAAAAUUUUGAUUUGGACAUACAAAAGUCCCAAAGGACAUUCAAAUGUCUAAAUGGUCCCUAAGGAAAGUUAAACAUCCCUCUCUCAACAUUCAAAUGUCCAUCUCAAGAUGUUCAAACAUUGAUCCUCAACUUUGUGUUUUUUGUUUGUCAAGUUGAGGCAAAUUUAAAUUUGGAAUAUCUCUAAAAGUGUUUCUUAGGGUUUUGGGUAUAAACAUAUUAUUUUAUUAGGUUUUAUUAUAUGCAUAAGAAUAUAUCCCUUAGCCUUUGUUUUCUAUUUCACAAGUGAUCGUAAAAGAUUCCAAAGUUGAGGUAUUUGUUAAGAAUAAGAGGUUCUUUGUCAAGGAUGUAAAAGAUUGUGUAGAUCUAACUAAUAUAACACCUUGGGAGUAGGAGCAUCCAAAUCUUGUAAUUCUGUGUGCAAUUAUUUUUAGAUUUUCUGGAUUUAUUUGUAGUUGUAUAAAUCCUAUGGAUUUUUUGGGAAAUUUUAUAGAUUGUUUUUUCAUGGUAUAUCACAUGUCCUUAUAUAGCCUUAGCAUGAGGUUGAGGUAUUUCCAAAGAAGAGGUUCUUUGUCAAUGACAAAAAAAGAUUAUAUAGAUUUUAAUCGAUAUAACACCUUGAGAGUAAGGGCAUCUAGAUUCGGUAAUUCUAUGUGCAAUUAUUUUUAGAUUUACUAGAUUUAUUUGUAGUUCUAUAAUCCCUACAAAGUCUAUAGAAAAUUUUAAAGGUAGUUUUUCCAUAGCAUAUCGUGUAUCCUUGUGCAUGAUUGAUUUUUUCUAUUCAUUGUUAAAUUCAUUGAUAUUAAAAUUCAAAUAAAAAUUAAACUUUGGAUUGACUUGCUUGGACAAGCUAUUCAUAGCCCACUCAUUUAGGUUUUCCCUUAAUCAAGACUUGAAUGUCACUAUCUUUGACCAAAACAUUCAUUCCAAAGUAUCUCAUAAAUUUAAUAAAUAUGAAAAUACUAAACAUAGAGGAGAGAUAUUUGUUUUAAAGAAAUUUGAAAAACAUGCACUAUAUAAUUACUUACAAUAUAAGUGCUCGUUAAAGGUCUAGUUGAGCUUGCUAAAAAAUGACUCCUCAUUAUUUAGAUCAUCUCCUAAUAAGAGAAAGUAAUUUUUUUUUUUUAUAAAUACAAGUCUAAAAAAGAAUUUAAGACCUAAGGUUUGCUAACCUUUUCUUUCUCGAAUAAUACCCUAAAUCGAAAUUUAUGAAUUUUUCAAAAAUAAGAUUCUAGGUAAAUAGAGUCUAACUUGAGUGAAACUUAAGCUAUUGACGAGUUUAGAUAUCUUGAAAAUUGAUAAUUAAAUAAAAUAGUUACUAAAUGAUUAUUGACUAAGCCUUAACUUUAAUUUGUGCUAAAUAUGUUCAAAAUAAAGCAUGUUAAAAUAUUAUUGAAUUUCCCAAAUUUUCUCAUAAAAUAGCUCAGAUCUAAAUAUUAUGAAAUUCUCUAAAUCUAUUUUAUGACUGGUCUAGAAAAUUAUGAAAAUAAUUUAGAAGUCCAUAACAAAUUAAAUAGUACCAAAAUUCUUGGAACCAAAAACUAUCUCAACGUGUAAUACUUAAAAUUGACUAACAUGUACCAAAUUCUUUAUGAUGCAAGCAAAAUAUAAAUUAAGUAAAAUGUUUUUUUUUAGUAUAAUAAUAUUUAAAAUUAACUAAAGGUCAAUAUCAUGACUACUGACGGAGCUGGAUGGAGCUCAAUCCGUUGGGGCCCCUACUUGUCGCUGUCUUGGCGGAUGAGAGGGCCACUCCUACAUGAUUGUUGUGGCUAGGAGACCUAGACGGGCCUCCAGGGUUUCUACCAUGCCUGGUUUUCCCUCUAUGCCUAACGUCUGAGGUCCCAACUGUGCUUGCAUCGCAUCUGAUAGACGUGACCUUCCAUCGCGCCUCCUCAUCGUUGAUUCCUGGGUAAAGUCGAUGCUUUUAUCUAGCUGCACCUGGCGAGUUGGUGAAAACUCCUCCUCAUACCGUGUCUUGUGGCUGCCAAUGGAGAACUAUGCGUUCUUUGGGAAAGAUGUCUCAUCAAUAUGUCUUGAGGCUGUUCACUGGCUUUGUGGUUGCCAACUUUAAGAGGGGUCUGUUGAUGACAUUUGGGCAUACAACUCUUCGUUCUCUUCUUUGAGUCGCUUCAUUUGGCGAAGUAGAGAUUGCAUCUGUUGAUCACUCUCUCGCUGGCAUCUCUCCAUACUCUCGCACCAAGCAAAGUAGCCUUCGCCAUUCAUAGCUGAUGAUCGACUUUUGGAGGGUGUUGAAAUCCUUAGUCUUCCCUACUUCAUGCUUCUUGAAUAGUUCGUCCAGCUGCACUAGAGUCAGACGAGCUUCUUUCCUGCACCAAAGGAUGUUUGGACGGGUGGUCCGGGCACGUUUCUCAGAAGCUUAAAUCAAACAAGAGUAGCUUUAUCUAUUUUGUAGGAGAGAAUGGGCAUAUGUGCGUGCGUAUCUUGUUCGUGCUUUUUGGAGGGGUUUAUAUAGAGUUGAUGGCAUCGCUACUAUAGUGUUGACUAUGCACUCUAGUCUUUUUGGUAAUUAUGAUUGUUCUUAGGGCGGCUGGGCAAUCAUCACAGAUUAGGGUGGUUGGCAAGUGCCAUCUGUUGACAUGCCAAAAUCUCUGAUCGUGCAGUUGACCGUCCAUUUAGCCUGCUAAUGCCUAGGAUUGUAUGCAACAAUUAAUUGACAUAGACUUGUGGGCUAAAUGGAGUCUCGUCGGCCGCUUAGAUGUUAGGUGUGAUUGAUCACGCAUGCCAUAAGUCUUAAAGACUUGACUGGAUAGAUCUUCCCGUCUAAAAGUCCAAGCUGUCGAUUACACCUAGUCUUGUGGGAGAAAGGAACCCUCUAACUUCUGGUACUAGAUGGAACUUAUCUUGGCCUGGACGGAAUGAUCCCAGAUGAGUUACAUACUUGUCCUAAACGACCAAGGGGUCUUGAGCUUGAAAGGGACACGUGGAAGGGAACCCCCCACACCUUAGCCUUAGUUUUCUAUUUCACAAGCUAUUGUGAAAGAUUCCAAAGUUGAGGUAUUUGAUAAGAAUAAGAGGUUAUUUUUCAAGGACGUAAAAGAUUGUGUAGAUUUAACUGAUAUAAUACCUUGGGAGUAGGAACAUCAAAAUCUUGUAAUUUUGUGUGCAAUUACUUUUAGAUUUUUUGGAUUUAUUUGUAGUUGUAUAAAUCCUAUGGAGUUUUUGGGAAAUUUUAUAGAUUGUUUUUUCAUGGUGUAUCACAUGUCCUUAUAUAGCCUUGCAUGAGGUUGAGGUAUUUCCAAAGAAGAGGUUCUUUGUCAAUGACAAAAAAAGAUUGUAUAGAUUUUGACCGAUAUAACACCUUGAGAGUAAGGGCAUCUAGAUUCGGUAAUUCUAUGUGCAAUUAUUUUCAGAUUUACUAAAUUUAUUUGUAGUUCUAUAAUCCCUACAAAGUCUAUAGAAAAUUUUAUAGGUAGUUUUUCCAUAGCAUAUCGUGUAUCCUUGUGCAUGAUUGAUUUUUUCUAUUCAUUGUUAAAUUCAUUGAUAUUAAAAUUCGAAUAAAAAUUAAACCUUGGAUUGACUUGCUAAGACAAGCUAUUCAUAGCCCACUCCUUUAGGUUUUUCCUUAAUCAAGACUUAACAUCACUAUCUUUGACCAAAACAUUUAUCCCUAAUUAUCUCAUAAAUUUAAUAAAUAUGAAAAUACUAAACAUAGAGGAGAGAUAUUUGUUUUAAAGAAAUUUGAAAAACAUGCACUAUAUAAUUACUUACAAUAUAAGUGCUCGUUAAAGGUCUAGUUGAACUUGCAGAAAAGUAACUCCUCAAUAUUUAGAUCCUCUCCUAAUAAGAGAAAGUAAGAAAAUUUUGAUAAAUACAAGUCUCAAAAGGAAUUUAAGACCUGAGGUUUGCCAACCUUUUCUCUUUCGAAUAAUACCCUAAAUCGAAAUUUAUGAAUUUUUCAAAAAUAAGAUUCUAGGUAAAUAGAGUCUAACUUGAGUGAAACUUAAGCUACUCACGAGUUUAGACAUCUUGAAAAUUGAUAACUAAGUCAAAUAGUUACUAAAUGAUUAUCGACUAAGCCUUAACUUUAAUUGGUGUUAAAUACAUCCAAAAUAAAAACAUGUUAAAAUAUUAUUGAAUCUCCCAAAUUUUCUCAUUAAAUAGAUCAAAUCUAAAAAUUAUGAAAUUCUCUAGAUCUAUUUUACGAUUGGUCUAGAAAAUUAUGAAAAUAAUUUAGAAGUCCAUAACAAAUUAAAUAGUACCAAAAUUCUUGGAACCCAAAACUAUCUCAACAUGUAAUACUAAAAAUCAACAAACAUGUAUCAAAUUCUUUCUUAUGCAAGCAAAAUAUAAAUCAAGUAAAAUGUUUUUUUUUUAAUAUAAUAAUAAUAUUUAGAAAUGAUUGAGUACUGCUAGAUGAGUUCGUCCUUAUUGCUAAACCUAGAGGAUUCACCCAUACUGAGUUGAAAAGCAUAAUCAGCCCUAUGAGUGGACUCAAAACUUUCCUUUAUUUUCUUGACUAACAAACAGCCUACAACAUGAGGAAAAAUGAUAUUAUAACCUUUUCACUGUGCUUCUUUCUUACAGUAUACCCAUAACUAAGCAUAAACCUUAAACAUCAAACUUGCUUUAUUUGUUAAAUUAACAUUUUCUUUUACUUUCUUUGCAACCAAACAGUUUGCAAAGAGACAGGAAAAUAGUUUGGAGUUAUAAGACUUCAUUAUAUGCAACAUCCUAAUCUUCUAGUACCACUCCUCCAACCAAUUUAAGAGAAAAAAAUAAAUGGAGAUCAUACAUGUCCUUAGGAAAUGGAAUGACUUUUCUUUUGCAUUCUUUUCCACUCUAGUAACUUUUUUGGAGAGGACAAUUUUCUUAUCUUUUGGAGAUUCCUUUUAUACCUUACACUUUCACACACGCUUUUCCAACCUCAUAACUCAAAUCAACAAGAAGAAAAGGAAAACAAAAUUCCCUAAGAAGAAAAGAAAAGCAUAGUGGUUGUUUUUUUUUUUUUUCUUAUUUAGUCUUGUACGUUUUGGAACAUUUAUGAAUUUACUACUAUGUCCUUAUUAACUUCAUAAGAGUAAUAAAAACACCCCAAUUAAUACAAGAAUAACAAUUAUUCCCUUAAAAGUCUUUAAGAUAUUCUAAGUGUUCCAAUAGCUCCUUAAAUAUUCACUUAAGUUAAUGACAUGGGUGUUCAGUAAAAUUUAAUACUUAUUAUUUUAUUAUUUAAAUUGACUUUAAGUUAAAUUAUUAACUUAAAUCUUAUUACUUAAUUUUUACUUUGAAUAUUAAGAUUGUUUGAUAAAACUAACUUAAAAAUUAUUUAAAUCAUUAAAUUGACAUAUUUAUCCUCAUAAAUUAUAAGUUGGGUAAAUGAGGUCAAGUAACAGUGAAGAUCAUGAAGUUGCAAAAGGGAUUAUGGAGAUAAUUAGGGCAAAUUGGAUAAAAAAAACUAAAAAAAAAAUAUAGACUUAAAAAUAGGUUAAUUGUAAUUACUUAUAAUUUAAAGUUGUUUUUUACUUUAAAUUAUACCAUUAAAUUAUUCUAUCAAACAUAUUUAAUUUACUUAAUGACUUAAAUUAAGUUAUUAAAUCACUUUAAGUUAUUAAGUUGGUUUAUUAAACACCCACAAUCUCUCCUCCUUAAUUUCUUUAUUAUUUUUAAUUACUUGAAUUAAUGUUUUAAAAUGAUAAAAUUUAUGAUUUAAAGAGAAUUUAAUCAUGCCUCACGCUUGCAAUUAAGUUAGAACUUGAGCAAACCUAAACAUAGGAAGAUUGGGUCAAAGAAAGGCUUGAAGCGCAUCAAUCAAUGCCGCCAAUAUCUCAAGCAACUUGUGACUUUGUGGGUAGUUUUGACCUCUACGUUUAAAAAUGAAAUUUACCAACCAAAAAUGAAAAAGAAGACAUGGAGCAUUGAAAUAAAGGGACUAUUCUUAUAGCUAAACGUGACAUGCAAGGCUAAGAAAGUUGAGAAGAAAGAAAGGCCAAAAAUAAUGAGCCUACCAUUACCCUUGAUAGUGACCAAAUUGGCACACAAGAAACUACAAGACAAAAUGGUGGAUGGUGGUGCUAACCACUUCCCUCACUUAGAAUUAAUUUCAAAUCUAGUAAUAUUGUUGUUGUUGUUUUCCUUAUUCACAUUUAUGGGAUACAUCCCUUCACAAAAAGAUGAUAAAUCAAUGCUUUAAAUUUAAGGAAAAUAAUCAUGGUUUGGGGGUUCGACUUUUGUAAAUAUUCUUGUCUCUUGUGAAUAGCCAGCCAUAUGCAUGCAUUCCAAGUUUUGUGGCAAAUGCCCUAGUCUUGGUUUGUAGUUGCACCGAUAUAUCUCCACUCAACGGCCUUUUUGUUGUUUGUUGUAUUAAUAACCAUUAGGACAGUCUAAAUGUUACAAGGUAAUUCGUGUUGGUGGGUCGUGUUCAUUUCAUGUUAAAAUUUAAGUAUUUUAUUACAUCACUCGAUCCAAACCCGACGUGAAUAAUAACUGUAUAAAAAACAUAAAUUCAAAUACUAUCUAAUUAUUAAAUAUGUAACCUGUCGUAUGGUCCAUUUACCUCAUUUAAUAAUUAUGUUGAGUUAGGUUUUAUAUAUGCCUACAUGAUUAAUGUUUCAAUCAAAUAUGUUUAUGACUUAAUUGACUUAUUUAUUUGAAGGUAAAUUUAAAAUAAGUAUGAAUUAAAUAGUUUAAAAAUAUAAUUAAGUUAAUAAUAAAAUUAUUAAAUGAGUUUAUUUGGAUCAAAUUCGUGUUAUACAACUUAACCCAAAAAUUAUCUAUUUAUUAAACGGGUUAUAUAAAUCUACACAAAUUAGACCCUAACUCAUUUAUACUCAACCUAAACUCAAUCGUGAAAAACAUGUUAAAUUCGUAUCAUGCUGAUGAAUCGUAUCAAACUUUUCCACCCCUAAAUAAAAUCAUUUUGAUAAUCUUAAUUUUGUGAAUAUUAAAAGUUUUGUGACAAUGUCAAGUGUUGGGAUAAUAUUAAUAUUUUUUAUUUAUUAAAAUUAAAUUGUCAUAUAUUUAAUAAAGCUUAAGGGCUUGUUUGGCCAGCCGGUCUAGUUGACCCAUAAGGCAUAAAGGUUAAAUUGUCAUAUAUUUUACUCUUUCCAAGUUAUACCAAUAAUUUAUUUAUUUGACUUUCAAAAUAAUGAAAAGGAUAAAAAUUAAAAACAAGAAAUUUACAGUCAGGACCACUAUAAUAAGAUUGAUGACUUUUUCUUUAGUAUGAUUCUUUAUUAUCCUCACCAAAGCAAAGAAUAAAGUCAAAUCUACCGACAUGUGUCGGUGAUUUACAAUUUUAUUUAUUUAUUAUUUAAAUAAUGGAAAGAAGAAAAAGAAAGAAAAAGACACCGGUUUCUCUGUUUCCAGGUAACCUCUCUUUCUCAAUGAUGCCUUUACACAUGACUUUUUCUUUAUAUAUUUUUUUGACGUAAUAUUAUUGAAUAAAAAUUGUUUUUCUUUUUAAUUAGAUUGAUAAAUUGAUUUUUCAAUAAAUUUAAUGGAAUAAAAAUAUGAAAAAUAAAUUCAGAAAAUUUGAAAUCUAAAAUUUGCUUAAAUUAUUAAUUGAAUAAAAUAAAAUAAAAUAAUUUAAUAGUAGACCACUAAUAUAUAUCAAGUUAGUGAUAUAUUAAUUUAUUAUAAUUAAUUAUAUAUAAUUAAAUAUAUAAUAUUAUUAAAUAUUAUAUAUAAAAUAUAUAUAAAUGAGUUAUUUGAUUAGAAGGGUAGUUAAAAACUCAAUUUUAAAAAUCUAAUUUUUGGUCUUUUUUAGUCAUAAAAAUGAUCUUAUUUAUUUUUUUAUAAAAAUAAAAAUUUAUUUAAAAACAUAUAUAUUUAAAAUAAUUAAGAACAUUUAUAUAAAAAAAUAAAUUAUUUUUCAAAUACAUCUAAUUGAUAGUAUCUUUUUGAUAAUGUACCAUAGAUACUCCAUUUAUUAAUUUCUUAAUCAUCCUUCAAUGGAUUCCAUGGUUUUUGACCAUGGAAAUUUCCAUUUUCAAAGCUUAAAAUUCUUCUUUUAUCAAUUUCCAAGAAAAAAAAGAAAAAGUCAAAACUUGUGAAGGCUUGUAAGCGAAUCAAUUAAAGAGAUUCAAAUAAUUGGUUGGUCAAAAAAUCACCUUAAAAAAAAGUACAAAAAAGUGACUACACACACCAUCCAUAAAGAAAAAUAGAAAAAAAAAAAAGGAGAGAAAAUGGAGGGUCUUUUUAAAACUAAAAAAUAAUAUAUAUAAUAUUUUAAAAUUAAAUUACACAUAACAAAAUAAAAAUAAAUAAAUAAAAAUUAAUUUUGUAAUACCCAAAAAAUUAUUUCAUCAACUCACCUUUUAACUCGAUGAUAUUUUUGGAAUAAAUAAUAUAUUUUUUAUUGAAAAUAAUUAAAAAAUCCUUCUAAUAAAAUUUUUUUUAUUCAUAUAAUAAUAAUGUUGAAAAAUUCUUUUUGUUGUUCUCACUUCUCACCGAAAUAAGCGGCAUCUCCAUGUAGCCGACCCUAGCACAAGAGGGCACAUGGGGCUUAUAAUGGACUCCACCACAUGGGACCAAAACCCCCUUUCUCUAUCUUCAUCGCCUAACCUUGACAAUUUUGCCAAAAGUCAUGUGCUUGUCGGACUUUAAAAUAUUGCAUUUUUUUUAAUAAAUAAUAAUAAUAAAUCCAAUAAAUUUUAAUACAUCUUUUUAAUUAUUACCCAUUCCCAUAUAAUUUUAAUUCUAUUUUAAAAUAUAUGUGGGCUUUUCACAAUUACCCAAAAAUUUUAAAAUCAUGUGAAGAAUUAAUUCCCCACCAUUGAAGAGGUAUGGAUUGAUUGAAAAAUAUCCAUUAUCCAUUUAUUUAAUUGAACAAAAUAUGUAAUAAAAAAUACUUUUAAUUGUAAAAAUUUUAAAAAAUAAAAGGAAAAAUGAAUUAAUUUUUUUUUGUUGGAUGUUUAUAGGCAAUUUUUAAGCAUUUGAUAAUUUUUGCUUUAUAUAUAAAAAUAUGAUGCAUUCACAAAAAAUAAAUUGAGAAAAUUAUUUUUUAUAUUAAUUUUUAAAAUAAUUUUUUUUCUUAAAACCAAUUUAAAAUUAUUUUCAAAAGAUAAAGAUUCGUUUGACCAUGAUUUAUAAAACUUAUUUUUAAAAACUAUUUUUUAUUUUUUAACUUAAAACAAUUGAAAAUAAGCUACAAAAAAUCCAAUCAAACGAGCCUAUUUUUUCAUUUUAUUUUUAAAAAUCGAUGAAAAUAAUUUGUACUUAUUCUUUAAAAGUUAAUUUUUAUUUUGCUUUAUUUAUAAAAAUUAUUUUUAGAAAACAAUGACCAAAUAAUAUUAAAAAAUUUUAAAAACCAGUUUUUGUUUUUAAAAAUAAAAAACUGUUUUUAAACCACACAAUCCAACAUCAUUUUUUAAGUAACAUUUUUUGGAGGUUUGCAAGGAAAAAAAACAAUAGGUAAAAUUAAUUUUAUUUAAAAAGAUAUGAGGGACCAAAUUAUUUGGAAAAAGUGUUAAUGGUAAUUGAAAAAACUGAAAAAUUAUAAAUAUUAUUUAAAUUUUAUUUAUAAUUUAGACGGAUUUUAUUUGUAAUAAAAACCUCAUAGAUAAAAGGAAAAAAAAUUAUCUCAAAAGGAAAAUCCAAUAAUUUUACAUGGGCCAGCCUUAAUAUAGAAAAUGCAGUGUCUUUUUCUGCAUGUAACGUAGCAGCUGGUAGAAAAUAGAAAUCAUUAUUGAUGUUAUGCCCUUUUUACCUGAGUGGGAGAGAGAGAGCAAGGAGGAGGAGAGAGAGAGAGAGAGACAAAGACCAUUGAAGUUGUGAGAGAGAGAAAGGUGUUGAGGAGACAGCAAAGCACAAAACCACGACAACACUCUUAUUUAAGCUUUAGCUUAGUUUGAGGUUCUCUUCACAUAGAUAUCAGUUUUAAUGCUCUAAACACCCUUAAUCUCUUCAGCUGUCGAGAGCUAGAUUGAGGGUGUUCUUGCUGUUGUAGUAGUUGUUGUUCUUCUGGUGGGUUUGUUACUUCAUCUUCUUUCUUUCUUUCUUCUUCUUCUUCCUCUUCUUCUUCUCUGUGUCAGAUCUCACUCAGAUCCUUACAUUCUGUUUCUGCAGUUGUUAUUAUUAUCACUCUCAUGUGCAAUUAAUUACCACACAUGUAUAUAUGGGGUUUACCUUUUCUUUUGUAGAGUAGAUCUGAUUAUUUUGAGGGAACCCAGCUUUUGCUCUUCUCUUUUUGCUAUUUUAAGAUACAAGUAAUGGUGAAAAUAGGCUAAAAUUUUAGGACUACCAAAUGGGUGUUCAAGAAAAUUAAUCUUUUUUUGGCUUCUGUUUUGUGAUCAUGAUGCAUAGUUGUGGUGAUUAGCAGAUGGGUUUUCGAAAAUAGUUACUUUUUUUGGCCUCUGUUUCUGUGAGGAGGCCUUCCCAUUUUCCUCUGUUUUCUCUUUUGAUUUCCCCAUUUUUUUUAAUGGUAAUUGGGAAGUGGGUUUUUUCAAAAAGUUUGAUUUUUGCUGUUUACAUAUUUUGAAUUUUGCAUCUCAUCUACAUUGUUUUCCUUUGUCACUGUUCAUCCACUUGUUUUCUGGAGAACCUUUUUUCCUGGAAAUUACUUUAGCUUCAUGCAAUUCUUGGAUUUGUAUGCAAUCAAACCAUGUGCUUCUGCUUUUUCUUUUGGCUUGAUUGGUCUUUGAGGUCACAUACCAAUCAAUUAUUCAGAAGAAAAAAACCACCCAAUUGCCAAACAGUGAUGCAUGAUUCAUUGGAACUUUUCUUGGGACUCAAGAAAUGAUUAAACUAAAUGAUAUUUCACAUUUUUUUCUCUUUUGUUUGCUUUUGCCUUUUGGUGGUUUGGUGUGAGAUCCAGUGGUCUCUUUUUCGCUUUUAUGACCUAGUGGGGCUGUUUGGGCCCAAAUUUCAUGUGAAAAUCAUAAAGACAUGGUGGCAUGAAGGCAAAAUAGUAUAACACUGGUUGUUGUUUGCGGAUCUUAUAGGGGUAUAUUAUAAUUAUUGUCUUGAUAAUGGCCUGUAUAGUCAUUGACCAGUAUACACUUUUUCAUUUUUCCUACUUUACCUUUCUUUUUUCUAUUGGAUAAAUGCAUAAAAUCAAUAACCAUGAACUAAAUCUGUUGUAGAAACUAGGGUCUUGUGGUAUAUGUUACAGAUCUGGUCAGUGAGCCUUUCAGGUGUUUGUAAAAAUUCAUCAUUUUGUUUAGAGUUUCCCAUGUUGUAGAUUACUUCUCUUUCUCUUUUCUAGAUUGAAGGUGAUGCAUAUUAUAUGGAAGUCACUUUCAUCUGUAAUUGAUGAUAUGAUAUAAUUUUCUGAAGUGUGAUAGCUUUGAAUGAUAUUAAUCACCUCAAUUCCUUAUUUUUAGGCUCUGUUAUGUUUGUUAACUAGUCAUGGGAUGAGAAAUAAAGACUUGAAUCCUUGAACCAUUUUGGGGUUGGACUAACUGAUGUGAUUUUAUACGUUUUCGCUUCUUUUUGACUGACUGCUUUGCAAUCAAGUGAAGUGUCAGUCAAGUAUGUGAAUUCCAGAAUGAAAUUAUGCUGAUUUUAUGAAUUUAUCCUCAAAAGGUUGUAGUGAUGGUUUUUGAUUUGGCUUUGGUGAAUUAUACUUUUGUUGGGGAUCAAAAUCUUGUUUACUGUUUAUUUAGGAGUUGUGUUUUGGCCAUGCAGGUAGUUGAUAGUUUCUGGGAAAAUGAAGCAUAAAGAUGGAAAACCGGGGUCUCAACCCGAUAAAAGUUCUAGGGUAGUCCCUAUGUCAAUCAUGUUUGUUGUGUUAUGUGGAUUUUCAUUCUAUCUUGGUGGGAUCUUUUGUUCUGAAAAGGAGAGAUUUGUAACUAAGGAAGUCGAAAAAGCUGUUCAGUCUCCCAAGGAAUCGUCAUCUAGUCCUCUCCAAAUUAAAUCAGUUGCUUUCCCAGAAUGCAGUAGGGAAUAUCAAGACUACACUCCAUGUACAGAUCCAAGGGUAUCAAUCACUUCAUCGCUUAUUUCAAGUUUCUAUAGACCAUUCCAUUCUCCAGGAUUUGCUUUGGUGUCAAAUUGCUUACAUUGUGUGUGUAUCUCUAUUGUUACAGAAAUGGAAAAAAUAUGGUCUUCAUCGUCUUACUUUUAUGGAACGCCACUGUCCCCCAGUAUUUGAAAGGAAGGAAUGCUUGAUCCCACCACCAGAUGGAUACAAACCACCAAUUAAAUGGCCUAAAAGCAGGAAUGAAUGUUGGUACAGGUAAUAUGGGCUGCUCUGUUUUUAAACUUAUUGCUUAUGGUUUUUGAUGUCAAGGAUUGGAUUUCUCCUGGAAAUGUUAUUGAGUGUAUACUAUUUGGAUCUGGCUUCAGGAAUGUGCCAUAUGAUUGGAUUAACAAGCAGAAGUCUAAUCAGAACUGGCUGAGGAAAGAAGGCGAGAAGUUUCUCUUCCCUGGUGGGGGUACUAUGUUCCCCAGAGGUGUUGGUGCCUAUGUUGAUUUGAUGCAAGAUUUGAUUCCAGAAAUGCUAGAUGGGACUGUUCGAACUGCCAUUGACACUGGGUGUGGGGUGAGCCCUGAUUCAUACUAUUGUUUCUUCACGGAGUUGAUCAUAUGAACCAAUUCGAUAACCUAUUAAUCUAUUUGAUGUUUAUUCUGGAAGCUUUGAUUUAUGACCAUCACCUUUGUAUAUGUUCCCAAAAAUUGUGUCACUUAGUCUGUGUAAUUGCUUUAUUUCUAGGUUGCGAGCUGGGGAGGUGAUUUAUUAGAUCGUGGCAUACUAACAAUGUCUUUGGCUCCAAGAGAUAAUCAUGAGGCUCAAGUCCAAUUUGCAUUGGAACGCGGAAUUCCGGCGAUCCUUGGCAUCAUUUCCACUCAGCGGCUUCCUUUCCCCUCCAACUCAUUUGAUAUGGCUCAUUGCUCAAGAUGCCUUAUCCCAUGGACUGAAUUUGGUAAUUCCUCUCUUCCAUAUAAUGAUAAGUCUCAGAUGUAAAUUUGGACAAAAUUACAUUAUCAAUAAGUUGUCGCUGAGGUUCAUUGGUUGAUCAUAUACUCAAAAUUUCUUUUUAAUUUUCACUUAAUUUUUAGAGGUUUUAAGUAGUCAAGCAUCCAUUACAAUUACAGAGGUUUACCCUCUAGGUGGAACAGGAAUUCAGGUCAUCAAGCUUUUAUCUUUACAAAAGAAACAACUUAGAGUAAUUUGGCAGCUUUCAUCAAGUUUUCAAGGAAAUUAUGAAUAGCUUAAAAAUUAAGGUAGCACCAACAUAAUGUGUUUUCAGAACAUUUAUCAUUUGAACAGGUUUGUCUUUGUUUCUGAUGUUGAAUUAUGAACGAAAGGAUCAUGUUUGUGUUCUAUUUUUUUAUUUUUUUAUUUUUUUAUUUUUCCAUUUGCUGCUUUUCACCCAUGGAAAUGUCCUGUUUUCAGGUGGAAUAUACCUCCUAGAAGUACACCGCAUACUCCGCCCUGGAGGGUUCUGGGUCCUGUCUGGCCCACCUGUAAACUAUGAAAACCGUUGGCGAGGAUGGAACACAACUGUGGAGGAUCAGAAAAGUGACUAUGAAAAGUUGACUGAGUUGCUCACUUCAAUGUGCUUCAAAUUAUAUAACAAAAAGGAUGACAUCGCUGUGUGGCAAAAGUCCUCCGACAAUAACUGCUACCAACAACUUUCUAGCCCUGAUGUGUAUCCACCCAAGUGUGAUGAUGGCACUGAACCAGAUGCAGCAUGGUACACUCCCCUCCGCCCUUGUGUUGUUGUUCCUGAACCGAAGUACAAGAAACUAGGGCUGAAGUCCGUCCCCAAGUGGCCAGAACGGUUGAAUGUUGCACCAGAUCGCAUUUCAGCUAUCCAUGGUGGGAGUGCGAGUACCUUCAAGCAUGAU